CGCAUACCUGCGAUGCAAAGUGAAAGUUAAAAGAUCAUAAAUGUGGUUCAAUAUAUUAUAGAGUAAUUACUAACUAAAAUCUAUCACAAUGGACGAAUAUAUUAAGUAUAUAUCUACAUAAGUAUUAUGUUCGAAUAUUUAACAAACGAGAGGUAGCUUAUGGUAAUAGUUUUGUAGCAAUGUAGUCUCAUUUUUUUCCAUUGGAGACUCCGCAUUAGUUCCCACGAGACAGGGCUAGAAAAAAGAGACAAAUUCUCAUAAAAAUUAAAAACAUCAAACACCAAUCAAACACCAAUCAUGUAAACUCUAAUAAUCAUAGCCACUGAUCUAUUAUAUUUUCUAAAAAGUUACCCACCACUCUCAUUGUGAAAAUAUUCAAAAAUGAGCUCUAAACCAAUAUCUAAAUUACCGAGCUCAGCUAUUAUAAAAAAUAAUCUAAAGAAAUCCUAGAAUCUUCAUCCAAUUCACUAAUACACAUCAUUAUAAAGCAUAACUCGAAAUGUCAUUCUAAAAUUUUAUCUAUGUUACCCACGUGUGUCGUUAUUAAAAAUAACCUAAAGUAAACACGUAAAUAUUAAUCUAAUUAUCUUCACGUGCAUCAUACAAAAAUGUCAAAAAGUAAACUAAUAUAUGAUUCUAAAUUACCUUUUAUGUCAUUGUUAAUAUAAAAAUACUAAGUUAAAGUAUAUACACAUGAUGAGUGCCACCAUUUAGACCAUUUAUACAUGUAUGUGAGGAAUCGAUGAAAAAUAUUGAUUUGUAUGCUAAACAUAAUGUAUGGAGGAUUGGAGGUGUGAUACAAAAUGGAAAAGGUACGAAUAUGGAUGAAAACGUGCAUAGAGUAAUUAUUAAUUAAAAAUCAAUCACAACUAGACAAAGGCCCUCACUGCGAGGCGCCUUGGCGGGACGGGCUGUGGUCAUUCGAAGAUCUCCUUCGCGGGCUGUGCAGGCGUGGAAGCGCGAGUUUAAUUUCUAAAUAAUUUUCAAAUGCAAUAGCUUCUAAAAAUAUUAGCCCGUGCGGGAGCACGGGUUGAUGGACUAGUUUUCAAAAUCUAUAACAAACAUGGUUAGUUAUAGAAUAAUAAAGACAUCCCUGUCAUGACUCAUGUGCUACUUAUAAGUUUGGAGGACCUCCUGAUUUAGUACCUAAUAUGUGCUGAUCUCCCAAAAAUUCAAUAUAUUGCAACAUGAAGCAGAUAUAAGGGUUAUAAUAACAAUACUUGCCUCAGUUUGAUGUACUUGGUGAGAAGGGAUGUUUCCAUCAUUUUCUGUGGUCGGUAACCCUUGAUAAGGAUUGCUAGAAAAGGGCCAUGAUAACCGCGAGAAGAAUGAUGUUGCAAAUUCUGGGAACUAUUAGAGAAAAUGCAAUCGCGUUAAGAGUGUACUCUAUCACUCAUCACAUUUCAGGAAGGAUCUCGAGAGCAUUACCUUCAACCUGCGGAUCCCAAAUGCAUUCAGGCGAUACAAAAGGCCAGCUAGUAUGCCAGAAACUCCAGGUACAACAGAACGUCUUCCAGAUGAGAAAAGAAGCUGUUGACAGAGAUGAGAUAUGUAAAGCUAUGAUAUAGAGGAAGAUUUGAAACAAGGGAAGGCAAAGGUAUCAUAGAGCUGAACCUGGAGUCCCGCCAGAUAUACAAAUGAUUUAUCACUUAAGCUCAAGCCCAAUAUGCGAAACUUCAUUGAGAUUGGAAUGUCAAAGAAGAAUGGCACAUAAGAUGCAAAAAUGAGGCCAUACGGUCCUGACGUGAGUGGAUUUAUUGAAGGAUCUGCAAUUCUGACACUAACUUGUCACACAAGAACAACAUACAAUAUACAAAAAGUGAAGUUUGUAUUGUGAUUCUCCUAGCUACCUUGUUCUCUAAUUUUAAAUGGGGGGUUUCCAGAGAAUUUGGUUGCAAUGAAUUUUCUUUUUGAACGGACAGUUUACUUUCCCCAGUUUGAAUAUGCACAACCAAUUUACAUGGUGGGACUAAGAAAACUACUACAAAUGUGCCUUCCAUUUUGCUCCUAGACAAUUCUGGCCAACUAAAGGAUAUGGAUUUCAAGCUUCCUACGCAUACAGGAAGCUGAAAUAAGGUAGGUGAAAUGUGACAGUAGUUUAAGCAGGGUUUAACAGAUGCAUGUAUUACAAAGCACCAACAAAAGACAUACCUUUCAGGUAACCUAAAGCAAGGAUCUGAAGCAGGACAGACACCACGGUGGAGAAGACUAUGAAGACCUAUAUGUUCAAAUAACUACAUCAGCAUGAGCAAGUGAUGAUCGAUAAACUGCGUGUCAAACGCCUUAAGCACAAAAAUACUUACAGCAUACUUGUUAGAACCUAUUUGCCUUUCGAAUACCCUAAAGUAGUACAGCAGGGUGGCUCCAAAGAUCAGCUCAGGGGUCGACGAGAAAGCAAACACCGAGGUGAUCAGCCUCCAUAUACUCAGCUUUUCAUAAACAUUCUACAUUGAAAAGGGGUAAUGAGCCCAAUUAGCUGCCUAUUAUAGCAUUGCAGACUGUAGUCCCUGUGUUUGUCUAGCCAAUUGCAGAUGAAACAAGGGCAAGUUUAUGGGAAAUUCUGCUACACUUGUAUUUUCAGAAACAAAAGGGGAUUACAGAGAAUAAGAAAUUUUCCUGCAAUUCCAACUUGUUAAUUCGGAAACAAAGCAAACAAGUGUGCCUCUCAGUGAAAAUGUUCGCCGGACCAGCUAGGAUCUUACUAAUUUUACUACACAAUCGGUAGGAAGGGUAAGGGCGACUUGCCUGGUAGGACAGGCCGAGGUCGAGGAAGCGGCCGCGGAAGCCGAAGGGGACGGAGAAGAGCGCGGCGGCGACGACCACGGCCCUCGACGCCGGCGCAUUGUCUGCGGAGAACCAGAUCGGAUCGGGCUAAGAUCAGAGCCGUAACACAGGAGCAGAGAAAAGGGAAGCCGAAGCGGCAGCCGCUUCGAAUCGAAAGAAAGAGGAGCCAGAGGGCGUACGGAAUCCAGGGAUCCCGCCGUUCAUCGCCAGCAGCCGCCGCGGCGGCAGAGGAGGAGGCGAGCGGCUCCGCCCCUGAGCUGGCCCGGCCUGGUCGGUGGACGCGUGCGAGCCAGCCUGCCAGCUGCCACCGUGCCAGGGAGCAGCAACUUCUGGAAACGCUGGAGGACUGGUGGAAGGAGAGGAGAGUGGAGACGAGUCAGAGCCCAAGUGUGCACCUGGAGAGGCCAAGUUUUGGGCCUGACCGCUCGGUAGACGACGAAUUAGGCAGCCCACCCAAAUUGAUACGUGCUCUGUCCAAGUACCAACAAACUCCCCAACCUCCUUUUUUUUUAAAAAAAACUCCCCAACCCAUUCGAUGUAACGAAGGUUAUCGCACUAAGCGUCUGAAUUUUUUUUCCAAAUAAAGUGCAUCAUAGUCCACCAACUUCAAGAUUGUACUUUUAUAUCCAUGAAUUUUUCAAAUCAUUCAGCACACAAGUUCAUACCCUCCACGUAUGCACGUAGUGAUGACACCGUGCAUCUGCGUCUCCCAUAUCAGGCCCCCUUCGUCGUGCAGUGAUCUUAUCAGUUACCACUUGCAAAGCAUCUGUCUCAAAAACGAUACGUGCCAAUGCCAUUGGAUCAAGAACAUGUUGUCGAGCACUGGUGCUCCAUAGAAUUAAACAAGGAGAACGGCAGAUUGCCGAGCACUGGUGCUCCAUACUCAAUUCCAUGUAGAACAACUGAUGUGUGUACUCAGAACACCCCCCCCCCCCCCACCCCCACCUCUGUUCAUGCUUAAAAUCCCUGUACAAUGUUGUUUGGCCUGCAAAUGGCCCCAUUAAUGAAAUUCAGGUGGGGCAUCCCCCCCCCCUUCCCCGGUUGACUUAAAAAAAACAUGUUGUAGCUUCGAAGCUCUUGUUUGGAUCACUUGGACCCUUCUCAUUGCUAAUGCCUACUAAUAGCAUAACCCCAACCUCCCCUUCGAUAUUAGCAAAGGUCCAUCUAUAUUAAUCUUCAGAAAACCGCGUCGCGAGUUCGACUCCUGGCUCGCGCCGGGAUUGAAAGUGACUUCAGCGCAACCUAUCGAUGCGUGGAGCCACAAAAGAGACCGUGACACAUCUGUCGUCGUCUAUGAAACCUAGGAAUUGGAUGACUCUGGUGAUAUCCGUAAGACGUGGUAUUGUCUAGAGUGUAAUUUUUACUUUUUUAGGUCUGGCCGUGUACCAGAUGAGAGGCGUGUGACAGUUUUAUCUUAGCUUGUGCAACACGGUUUGGGGGGAAAAAACACAGCGAGUACUAAAUAAAAUAUCUAAAGGGUGGUUCCGCCAACCCAUCUUAAUCACGUACUGUACUGCCGCAUUGUGCCACGCACGCUAAACGGAUUUUUGAGCAACAUCGCAAUUCCACGCCCACUCUGCCCUUGCCAAAGUCACCAUCUCUGAUCGCCGCCACAUGAGGACUGGAAAAAAGAUCGAUCAGCCACCUGAAAUAUAUCAUCUUAGUAUUAACUUUUUCCUGUACAUAUUUUAAGGGUCUCAGUCUCAACCACUGCCGCACGCUUGUCUGGUAGAUUGACUGGAAUUAGGCGCACCCAUCAGCCCGCCACGUCAUUUUUCCUCCGGUUCCUCUCAAACCUUGUCAACUUUCGCUUUGCAAGACUCGACGUUGAACAUCCUGUCGUCACCUCCGAGUUAGGCACGGCGCUGCCGCCGCAUUCAUCUGCAAUGACUUGGACACUAAGCAAAUCUGCUCACUCCCUGAGCAUCUCAGUCGUGGUGAGGUUUCAGCACCCACACGCUAUCCCGCGCAGCUGGGGCCUUGUUUAGUUGCCCAACUUUGGAGUAUAAAAUUACUGUUGUAGCACACUGUAGUGUUUCGUUUGUAUUUGUGAAUUAUUAUCCAAAUCUUACUAUUACUAAUUGGAGGCUCCUUUUGAAGCCUCCAGAUGAAGCCACCUAGGAUUCCUAGGUGGAUACUCUAGAAAAAGAGAGAAAUCCUAGAAAUUCUCACAAAAAAAGCAAAACAUCCGACCAUCAAUCGACAGAUUCAAAUCAUCAUAACCAUUGGAUCUAUUAUGUUUUCUAAAAAAUUACCCACCUAUGCCAUUAUGAAAAUAGCCUAAAGUAACCCCUUAAAUUUAUAUAUAAAUUACCCACCUCUGCAAUUAUAUAAAAUAAACUAAAGUAACCCCCUAAUCUUCAUCAAAAUUACCCACUUAUGCCAUUAUAAACAAUAUUUAAAAUAACUCUCUAAUUUGCAAUUGAAUUGCCAACCACUAUUACUUUAAAAAACUUAAAGUAACCCUUUAAAUUUGCAUCUAUAUUACCCACACAUGCUAUUAUUAAAAAUAACAUGAGGUAACCCUACGUUUGAAUCAAAUAACCUUAAUUAAAAAUAUACGACAAUAUAUGAUUCUAAAUCGUCUAUAUCUUACACUAUUGAUAUACGAUAUAAUAAUUAAGGUCUAUACGCAUGAUGUGUGAUGUGUGUCACCAUUUAUAAGGAUAUAAAGUUAUGGGAAUAUACAUUAGUACGCUAAAAUUAUAUCUAGCAUUAUGGAUAGUUCUAUUAAAUUUAUGAGCACUCAAACUUUGGGUUCAUUAAACAAAUUCAAGCCCAUACAUGCGGUCCAAAGUGGAAAGUUAAAGAUUAUAAAUGUGGAUGAAAAUAUUAUAGAGUAAUUACUAACUGAAAUCUAUCACAAUUGGAUGAAGAUAUUAAGUAUAAUAUCUACAUAAGUAUUGCGUUCGAAUAUUUAACAAACGAGAGGUAGCUUAUGGUAAUAGUUUUGUAGCAAUGUAAUCUCAUUUUUCCAUUGGAGACUCCGCAUUAGUUCUCAUGAGACAAGCAAGAAAAAAGAGAGAUUCUCAUAAAAAUUAAAAACAUCAACACCAAUCCUGUAAACUCUAAUAAUCAUAGCCAUUGAUUUAUUAUAUUUUCUAAAAAGUUAUCCACCACUGUCAUUGUGAAAAUAUUCAAAAAUGAGCUCUAAACCUAUAUCUAAAUUACCGAGCUCAGCUAUUAUAAAACAUAAUCUAAAGUAACCCCAUAAUCUUCAUCCAAUUUACUAAUGCACAUCAUUAUAAAGCAUAACUUAAAAUAUCAUUCUAAAAUUUUAUCUAUGUUAUAUGUCGUUAUUAAAAGUAACCUAAAGUAAAUACCUAAAUCUUAAUCUAAUUAUCUUCAUGAGCAUCAUAUAGAAAUAUCAAAAAGUAAACUAAUAUAUGAUUCUAAAUUACCUAUUUAUGUCAUUGUUAAUAUAAAAAUACUACAUUAAAGUAUAUACACAUGAUGAGUGCCACCAUUAGACCAUGUAUACAUGUAUGUGUGGAAUCGAUGAAAAAUAUUGAUUUGUAUGCUAAACAUAAUGUAUAGAGGAUUGGAGGUGCGAUACAAAAUGGAAAAAGUAUGAAUAUGAAUGAAAAAGUGCAUAGAAUAAUUAUUAAUUAAAAAUCAAUCAUAACUGGACAAAGAUAGAUACAUAUCUAUAUAAGUAUUAUGUUGAAGUAUUGGAAAAAUAAUAGUAGUAGGUAAACAAUUUUGAUUAUUAGUUAAGAGUUUAAUUUCUAAAUAAUUUUCAAAUCCAAUAACUUAUAAAAACAUUAGCCUGUGCGGAAGCACGGGUUGAUGGACUAGUAUUGACUAAUUAGGCUCAAAAGAUUCGUCCAGCAAAGUACAACAAAAUUGUGCAAUUAGUUUUUAAUUUCGUCUACAUUUAGUACUUCAUGCAUGUACCGCAAGUUUGAUGUGAUGGGGAACCUUCUUUUUGCAUAGUGUCAAAGUUAGGAGUUUGGGGAACUAAACGGGCCCUGACAUUCGCCGCGGACACUCCAUUGAGCAUUGAGGCCCUUUGGAUGUCAUGCAGGAGAAUUGGCAGCAUCGGACCAAAGAUUUAAAGCUGGCCGGAUUGCGAUUAGCAUUCCAGGGAAUUAUGUUGCAUAUAUAAACCAGGAUACAGCGACAGCACAAAGCCAAGUCGAAAACUGGAUAUAAAUCUGUACAUGGUUCGUAGCCUAUCCUUCUUCUAGCAAUCUUGAGCAGACUGAAUCUCCCGCAUCAUAAAUCUCUAGCAAAAAAAGAUCCUUCAGAGUUCAGACCCGAGGAGGGGUUCAGUCCAGAAUUAUUUGGGACGCAGACGCGCAGGCCGACUGCAAAUGGGACUGGCGAUCUCCAUCAGUUGAGGACAUCCACGGGCCAGAAUCGCCGCCACGUCGCGAUCUCGUCCUUGGUCUGCAGCUUCCUGAUGCCCCCGUAGAAGCCGUCGGUCUCGUCCCCCGUCUCCCUGUGAUCCUUCCUGCUCACGGUGGUCUGCCUCCACCGCGAGCCGGGGGCGUAGUGCUGGAACUCCAGGACGAUCAUAUCUGCAACAAACAGAUGGUAGCAACUCAGCUGAGCAGAGUGAUUCGCUGCUUGGAAAAUUCAGACUCGCUGCUUGGAUAAUUCAGAGACUUUAUCUAUGUUCAAGUUCAAAUGCGCUAUGCUUAUCUGUAUACGGUCCUACUCCACGAGAUUCAGUCGACAGAGGGAAAUGGUCCUAGGUACUGGGACGAUAGAAUAUGAACAGAGUAUGGCUCUGGUACAGGAUGGCACAAGAUCCACAUGAGAAGAAUGAAGAGAAUAACACUAGCAGGAAUGUAGCCAAAGCGUAUCUGGCAAGUUGCUCUUUUUAGCGACAAAACAACGAAUAUUGAUCAUUGAAAAGAGGAAAGGCGCCAAGAAUCUUUAUUGUCCCUCCCCAAUGGGCAUGUUCGCUUCAGCUUAUAAGCCGGCUGAAAAGCCGAAACGGAUGAUUUGUUGUGUGAGGAAAACACUGUUUGGUGGCUGAUAAGCCGGCUGAAUAAGUUGAAGCGAACAAUAUGUUUCCGAAUAUUUGUUUUCUCUGUCUCUUUUUUUUCCCAACUCUGAUGGCAUCAUGUCAGUCAGGAGUAGUACAGGAUAAGCAGAAGAAAUAGCCGCCCUCCCUUGUACGGCAACCACUUUGCUCUUUUCUACUAGGGGCAAUGUACAAUGUUUAUCCUGUCCGCACGUGUUACUGCCGACAAUAUCCAAAGGUGAAAAGAGAGACACAGAGAGAAUGGGAGGAGAAUCUUUACCGUCCUCAUGGCAGCGACACCACAGAUGCUCGUUCGCGUUGCACGACGCCUGGUGACCCACGACGCCGUACCACCAGCCUGUAGUAACGCAUCGCAAAAAGGGCAUCGUAUCAGCCACUGAAGAACCAACAGAGAUAGUAGAAUCGUGUCGUGCGGCGGCAUAUUGCGGUUUGAAUGCAGGUGAGGUGAUCCGGGCAUAAGUACCGUAUGGGAAGUCCUUGUUCUUGCGCCACUGGAUCUCGAAGUGGUCGCCGGGGCGCAGCGCCCCCAGGCAGCCCGACCCGUGCAGGUCGUGCGCCGGCGUGCUCACCGGCGGCGCGCGGAUCCUGCUCCACUGCACGCCGUCCUCCUCCUUGGCCGGCUUCCGGCCGUGCGGCGGGUACCUGUCAAACGACACCGACCGCCCAUCAUCACCCCAUAAAAACCACUCGCGAUCACAGCGAAUUGCAGCCCAAAAGAUCUGAUGAGUCUCUCCAUGUUUUGCAUAAAAACAUUUCUCCGUCACUGGUUUUAAAUGCACAUGCUGCCACGCUAAUGGUGCGCACCGUGCGUGCUGGGCUUUACUGAUGUGAGCUCGACGGCUACAAGGGUUUUAAUUGACUUCGUUUUGGGUCAAUUCAGUCGGCCUCGGGUCACGAUCACAACAGUAAACUACUACCGCCUACCGGCAACAGGAGAUUAAGCUGAUGGAAUGGAUUGGUUACCUCGCCGUGAAGGUGUCGGUUCGCCGGUCGUAGCGGAGGUGCGCGUCGUAGCACGAGAGCACGAAGCCGACAUGCCCGUCCUGCUAAAACAGCAAGCACAUUCCCUCCUAGCGUUAAUCAAACAAUUCGUGCGCUUAGCCUAGUGUUAAUCACAACUAGCGGCGAUCAAUACCUCGCGGUUGUACACCUGCGCGGGGAACCAGAAGUCGCCGCACUCGAGAGCCCGGUACCACGCGGCCACCGUGUCCGUCGGUGGCGCGGCGGUCGCGGGCGCUGGCUCGGCGGCAACGGCGGCCGGUGCCGGGGUGGCGUCCCCCUUGAGCCAGCGGCCGGCGAUCCAGGAGAAGGGCCACGCGCAGGCCAGCGAGUCCGCCCAGCUCCUGCGUCGCGCCGGCCGCGGCGCGCUCGCGCGGGUGGCCCUGGCGCCGAGCUCGGCCUCCCACUCCUUCCGCGCCGUGCCGCCCAGCACGCGGCCCCACUUGGCGCGGAGGUGGCGCUCCCACAGCGCGUCGGCCGAGCACCGGCCCCUGAGCGCGGCGCACACGCACGCCAUCGCGGCGAGCGACGCCGGCGAGAGCUCCUCCAGCACGCGGUCCAGCGCGAGCUCCGGCAGGUCCAGCAGCGGGAGCCCCGCCGCGGCCGGGGGCGCCGCCAAUGCGGCCGGCUUCGGCCUGGGCGGACUCAGCAUCAUCCUCGCUCCGCGGUCCCGCCCCAGAAACCUCCUCCCCGCGGCGGUGGCGUGGUUCAGCAGCUCCGUGGCGAGCAGGAGCGCGAGGAGGCCGAGCUCCCGCGCGAGCUUGCAGCAGGGCUUGGUGGCGGGCGCGACGAGGAGCAGCGUGAACGCCGGGACCGUGGAUAUAAGCAGCAGCGGAAGCAUCUCAGGAAAAGGCCAGCGCCCCGGCCGUACCAAUCAGCAAAGGCGGCUGGCUGGCUGGCUGCUGGCGGUGGUGGUGGGCGACGACAGCGCCACCCAAAUGCCCCAAUGCGCACGACGCGGACACGGGCACGGAGGGGAGACUCAGGUCACUGGAAUGGAGAGGGUAGGAGCGCGCGGGCCCGAUCGGCUCCGGAAAGCGGGGGCAGUGGCGCGGGCGGCAGCCUUGCAGCGGAAUGAUUCCUGCUUCCCCCCCUUCCUCCUCCGCCGUGCCGCGCUGCUAGAUGCUGCCGCUUCCCCCUCUGCUUUUGAGGAGCCUCACCCAAAAGGCGCGCACAGAGGGCAGCACUACGACGGUCGACGACGGGCUACUGCCAGUACUGCGCCUCGCGCCUCAGCACCUGCUCUUGUAAUCCUUUGGACCUGGACGGCAAGAGCACGCAGCGCGCUGGACGCGCAUGUGUGCCACUGCUCAGUGCCACCGGAGAGGGGAGCUCCAGCUCCUCUGCUGCCUUUGCCCACGCCUACAUGCCGGCGGCAUGUCCGAUCGGAUCCCGCCUUUUUGUUUACUCUCCAGUCGAUUCGGUUGGUGCGUUGUAGAUUUGCCUUUGGUGGAUGGAAAUGGAAUGGGAUGGCAAGUGAGGGAGAACCGGAGAAGGGUGGUAGUGGUGGGUUAACGUAAGAAACCACCAACGCCAACAGUGCACGCGACGCGCAGUGACCCGGGAGGGGUAGAUUGGCUGGCUGGCUGGAGUAACAAGGUACCGCGAGGAAGAAGGUCUGUGACUCCGAGUCGCGUCUCUGCAUUUGUAGGGUUGGCAGAGGUGGUGGUGGUGGUCGUGGUUGGUGGGUGAACGGAGACAACCACUCGCCGCUAACCCCCAACACCACCACUCUACCGAAUUGCGGCCAAACCUUUUUUUUUUCCUUAUUCAUCCCAUCGCAAAGCCAAAAACAUUCGUCCCCAUUUCUGCUUUCACCGAGGCGAUGUUUGUCCCAAACUUUCCGUGCUUAGAAUAACAACCUCCCGUGCUCGUGUAAGACAAGCGACGGAAGGUGAUUGGUGAGGGUGGUUAAGCAGCCUGGAACAGGGUUGCGUCCAAAUGCUGGUGUGGAGAAAACAAGGGGGGAGGUGGCGCGGUGGGGGCGGCCGCGUCCGGGUUUUCUCCGUUGGUUGCUCAGACAGACAGAUCACAUUUUUUUUGUUUUUUGAUAAGGUCCCGUUUGGAUCCAUGGCAUUGAAUUCCAUUCUACUAAUCAUAAUUUAGACAUAAAUUAAUUAAACUAAUAUAAUUGUACGUGAAAUGUAUUUGUAUAUUAUUAUUAGCGAUAUGAAAGAGAUACUUAUGUGCUGCACUUUUGCUAUAGCGAAGCGAGUCCAAGAGCGUGCUAUAAGAAUUGAAUUCUAUUCUAAUAAUCAUAAUCUAUAGAAUCAAUUUCCAUCUCCACCCUAUAAAUUUAAGAUAGGCUUAUAUCUAAACUUUGGAAAGUUGUGCAAUGCUACAUUCCAAGAUAAAUUAGCCUACUUCAUUAAGUAGAUUCCAAUUCCUUCAAGACCUGAGCGUAAUUUUUUUUUCUUUGAAAUGAGAGCACGGAAUAGAGUGGCCGUAGUAGUAGCUAGCCCCCGUGGCCCAGGCAUGGCGCGAGCUGCACGGAUACUGUUGCGGUCAAAAGUUUGCAGCUCACCAAUAUGUGGGCGCCUACGAACGACGAUACUGCUGUGGAGGAGCACGAUGGAGCGCUUGCUAUUAUUUUAGUUCCUGCUUGCCCCUUCUGGGAUGGGACGUGACCGGUGCUCGUGUGUUAAGCUGCCCCAGGGUUUCGUUUUAAGGAAAGGGACGCCGUUUGUUUAAUCGGCCACUCAUUGUGCUCUGCUGAGGGGAUUCCACUCCGGAGUUUGUUAGCCUAAAUGCCUAAGGAGGUGUUUGGAUGCGGUGUACUAAACUUUAGGAGGGGUCACAUCGGAUGUUCGGAUGCUAAUUAGGAGGACUAAACAUGAGCUAAUUAUAAACUAACUGCAGAACCCCUAUACUAAUUCACGAGACGAAUCUAUUAAGCCUAAUUAAUCCAUCAUUAGCAAAUAGUUACUGUAGCACCACAUUGUCAAAUCAUGAACUAAUUAGGCUUAAUAGAUUCGUCUCGCGAAUUAGACUCCAUCUGUGUAAUUAGUUUUGUAAUUAGACUAUAUUUAAUACUCCUAAUUAGUAUCCAAACAUCCAAUAUGACAGGUACUAAAGUUUAUGAACCUGUAUCCAAACAUGCCCUAAUCUCCAUUUGGGGUGGAGUAUACCCCUCCUCUGCAAGGCCUAUCUUCCAGCUUGGUGUUGCUUGCUCUGGCCAACACAUCCGGUGGUGCACGAUCCUCUGCGGCACGUUUUUGUCGGGCUAGUAGCCCGUUCGGUACGCUUCCGCUGGUGGCCUGUCGUGGAAGCCGUUCGAGCGGCUUAACGACGCACCGACGCUGCCCCUGUGCUUAUCUAGUGCCUCCCUCUCGCCCCCUCCGUCGCGUGCUCUAGCCCCUGAUCCGCCGCCGUCGCCCCCGCCGCUCGGCAGCACCUGCGCUAUCGCCGCUCUUCGCCGCCGGCAUUGAGUCGCGUCGCCCGCUCCCUCCCGGUCGCCCGCGCGACGCCGCCGUCGGUCUCGCAGCUCGCCCCCUCGGUCGCUCGCACUCCCUCCGGAUCCACCGCCGCCGCAGCUUCCGCUCAGCCGCUCCCUCGCUCGCGCGCGCUCUCCGCCGCCGGCCAGCCGUCGCGUCGCCCUCUCCCUCGCGCUCGGCCGGGCGCCGCCGCCAUCGGUCCCGCUGCUCGCCUCCUCCGUCGCUCGCUCCGGAUCCGCCGCCGCCGGUCCCUCCGAAUCCGCCGCCGCAGCUCCGAUCGGGCGCACCCGCUCCCGCCGCCAGCGGGCCGUCGCGUGCAAGGAACGUCUCCCAGUCCGUCGCCCCCUCCCUCCCGUUCGCUCACAGGUAUGGCACAUAUUGAACAUGUUGCAGGAGAUUAGGUGAUGGCGUAUUCUAUUGGUUUGGACAUCCGGACCAUUAUAGGCUAGUUUCCAUAUAAAAACUUUAAUCUUUUGUGGCACCGGAGUUUUUCAAAUUGCAUCAAAAAAUUUCCUAUCCAUUGAGGAUGCCGAUAGCCAUAACACUUAACCAUAUUCUUGAUUGUCCAUUUCCAAUCCUAUAUUAGGUUCUUCAAAUUUUAGCAAGAUUGAGCUCCUUAAAUAAUUUAAUUAGUGCGAAGGAAAUGGAUAAUUAAUUGCAUUUUUCGUGACUAGGCACAGUGGCUAUGCUCUAGUGCAACAGAAUUUCCAAAUGGUUGCUCAUAUCUUGUUAAGCUAAUUACAACUUAAAGUUGGAAUUACUUGGUGUACAAAGAUGCCUUGUUUGUGCUUUAGACCAGAUGUACUGAUGAGUGUGAUAGUGAUUGAAAGAAGGCAUCCUUAAUACGAAGUGCUGGUCAACUAUUUAGCUUUCACUUAACCUUCUUAUUGUUGCUACUUGAUAGCAUAUGCUUCGUAUUGUUGCACGGAUAAAAUGAGAUGUUUUGACUACCUACUGAAAAAGGUUGUAGCAUGGCAUGCUUAUUUCUAUAUUUUUAUUGCAUAACACUCUUACUUUAAUUCUGAAAUGAAACUAGUGUCCAAAUUAAAUUCAGGAUAACUGAUUGAAAUGAUGAAAUUAGCACAUCAAAAACCUCAAAUCUUCCUUUUGUGACCUUGAUUGUAUUUUCAACCUUCUGGUGCAUUAUUUUCACAUUCUGUUUUUGGUUUUCUCACCUUUGCAGGCGACUGAUACAAGGCUACUAGCAGGCCAACCGCUAGGAAGUACCAACGGUGCCCACACUGACAUCGUCAUCGACUUCAUCGUGCUCUCCCCCACCGGUGUGCCCGUACAAUUUCCACCACAAACGCGCCAAGACACCUGCUAAGGCAAGUAACAUAUCCAUUAAUUUUAGAUUGUUUAGUUGUACGCAGCUCCUGGUUAUCCGUAGCUCGGUGCCAUAUAAUUGCAGCUCCUAUGUACUCAGAUGAAUAACCGUGCCAGCUGGGAUGAGGGCACGACGAAAACUUUGCUGGACUUGUGCAUUGCUCAGAAGAACCAGUUCAAUUGGAGCAACAGAUGCCUCACUAAGUUGGGAUGGAAGAACGUGUACUCAGGCUUCAGGGCACAAACUGGGUUGCAUUUGGGCAGCAAGCAGCUGCAGAACAAGCUCAACAACAUGAGGAGGGCAUUCCACAGCUGGAUGUCCUUGCAAAAGCAAUCUGGUUUAGGGCGCGACACAUAAACUGGUGGUGUUUCUGCUGAUGCCACCUAUUGGGAGGAGGACGAAGAGGUACGUCCUAUGCCAGGCCCCUAAGUUACUCGGCAUCUUAUUUGUACUUCUAUGUUUGUGGCCUUGAUCAUUUACUGUUGCUUCAACAUUGCAGGAUACCACUGGUGGUGAUGCCCAGCCGAGGUCCCAGCCGAGUUCUGUUAAGCCUCCACCUUUCCUCGAUGAAUUGUUUGAGUUGUUUGGCCAUGAACCCCAAGACAGGGGCACCUUGCUGACGGCAGGAGGUAUUCGUGAGGCGACACCUAGCGUGGGGACUGAGGGCAAUGCAGUGGAGUUGGACCAGGACCCCCCCUGCUAGUAGUGCUCGUGCCAUGUCCAAACGGCCGGUCCGGGAAUUCUCUGUGGACAGUCCUACGAAAAAAAGAAGUGACAACUUGGAGCAGUACAUCAGGGAGCUAUCUGACAGUGUGGCAAAAAGGAGCCAGCAACGUGCUGACCGUACCCAUGAACAAAUGGUUCAUUGUAUGCAGCUCCUAAAAGAAGAUGGUAUACAGGAGGGGUCUCCGCUUUACUGCCAGGCUCUGUAUUUAUGUACUAAGAGCGUGGAGUAUCGGACGGUAUUGACGGAGAUGACAACGAAAGAGGGGCGAAUGAACUGGAUACAAUUCAACUAGGACAUGUUGAACAAGAAGUGAUUGUGGCAUGACUUUGUUUUAUUGUAGUGAUGUGUACUGAUGGUUUCGAAAAUAAUGUUUGCAUUUAUGUCGGAAUAGUAAUGUUAGCUUCUGUAACAUGUCUUGUUUGUUGAAUCUUUCGUUUUAGUGCUAGUUAAAUUUCUUUGAAGUUUGUUGCCGUCCAUGCUCAGAAAUUUAUUAAGUUAAAUUGGAUCAGUUCUUUCUGUUAAGUUCGUUUCAGUAGUUUCUGUUAAGUUUUACCUAUAAGUUUUCAAGGUAAGUUCCUUUCAAGUUCGAUCAGUAUUUUGUGUUAAGUUCCUUUCAAGUUGCAUCAGUACUUUCAAGUUAAGUCUUCAAGUUUUCUGUUAAGUUUUCAAGUUAAGUUUUCGAGACACCCACUGAUUCCUUCAGAAAACAUUAUCAUCGUUGAACAGACGAACACUACGGGCAGGUUACGGAGCCGCACGUGUUCUCGGUGAAAAAGUGGGGAAGUGAGACGCGAAAUGCGAGUACCACACCACCUCUGCAGCUACUGGUACUCUCGCCCGACUUUCUCCCGCAGCCGGCUAAUAAAAGGAGUACGUGCCUUCGAAGUCCGCGACCAGAAUUUGUGAUGCUGGGUCGAGCCUGACGACCAGCGUCCUCAACUUUGACCAGGAUGAAUGAACCAGUCAACUCUGAUCUGAACACGGGGAAAAAGAACCAUCGCUGUUGAUGCCAACUUGUUAACCACCUCUUAAUUAACUUAGAGGGUGUUUGAUACCCUGCUAAAUUUUAGUACACGUUACAUCGGAUAUUUGUAUACUAAUUAGGAGUAUUAAAUAUAGUCUAAUUACAAAACUAAUUGCACAGAUGAGUCUAAUUUGUGAGACGGAUCUAUUAUGCCUAAUUAGUCCAUGAUUUGAUAAUGUGAUGCUACAGUAACUAUUUGCUAAUGAUGGAUUAAUUAGCCUUAAUAGAUUCAUUUCGCGAAUUAGACUCUAUCUGUGCAAUUAGUUUUGUAAUUAGCUGAUGUUUAAUCCUCCUAAUUAGCAUCCGAACAUCCGAUGUGACCCUGCUAAAGUUUAGCACCUCGUAUCCAAACACCCCUUUGUAUUCGAAACGAACCUGACAGGAGAGCUACCGAUUUAUUAAAAAGAAGAUGAAGUUCAAACUGGACGAAACAAUAAAAUGGAAAAACGACGCAAACACCGAUAGGUUGGAUGGGUCAUCAACACAUGCCGCACCACGCCCUCACAUGCAACUCAACUCUACACCACAUCAGCCAGUUAGAUUGGGACAUCAACUAUCGCCGAACUCCACUCCUCUCAACACCUCCACGACCGAACCGAAGCCUUACCGCAGCCCAAACCACCAUACACACGGUUAAGAAGUCACCGAAACCUUACAGCGCGCGAGAAGCAGAUGUUAAUUAACUUAUAGGAUGAAUGGAUUGCUCUGCUUUUUUUUUCUUCCUUCCCCGGACGACACGUCCAGAUGCUUCGGCCUUGUUUAGUUGCCCAACUUUGGGGUGCCCAAAUUACUGUAGCAACACUGUAGCGUUUCGUUUGUAUUUGUGAAUUAUUGUUCAAAUAUUGACUAAUUAGGCUCAAAAGAUUCGUCUCGCAAAGUACAACAAAACUGUACAAUUAGUUUUUGAUUUCAUCUACAUUCAGUACUCCAUGCAUGUAUCGUAAGUUUGAUGUGAUGGGAAAUUUUCUUUUUGCAUAGUGCUAAAGUUGGGAUUUUGGAGUGAACUAAACAUGGCCUUCGUAGACCCGGCAACGCCGAGGAUUCGUUGACUUCUGUCACAGAUCUGCCUGCUUCUGCUUGGUGGUGAUUCGGCCAGUCCACUGUAAUCCUGCUUUUGUGCGUGCUGGAAUCUGCAUUUUCAGAUCGAAGAGACUGGCCUGGCUGCUGCAAGUAGACGCUUAAAAGCUACGGAAUUGGAGUACUAGUUUUCUCUCCUGAGACAACAAAUCACGUGACAGAGAAUUAGGGGCCGCCCGGGGCGGCUCCCGAGAGAGCGUGGCUUGAACGGAACCUCAGGCUUGCUCGACGUGUCGUGCUCAAAUUUGGAGGGCAGUCAGGACAGGAGGAAGCUGCAACGAGACCAACACAAAGACAAAAAAAGGUUAGCAACGUUUUUAAAUUCAUUCAUCUCUCUACACAAGAGCGCACAACUUCCCAAAAUUCUCCCUUUGGUAAAGGCGGGGAGCGAAGUUUCUCAAGCUGGCCCGGAUAGGUGGAUAAUGCCACCACACCACGAGUGUCACAGACGGAGUAUGCAUGCAAGUACUUUUACAACUGUUUCGGCUACUCGUGCACGACCAUGGCAGCGACAGCGCCAUCAAGCAUGAAACCAUGAGAUUCACCGCCAUAAACGCACCGCCAUCGUCGCCAUGCCCAUAAACACCGGACCACACGCCGCACCCCCGCACAGUACUGUACUCGCCCAUUCGAUGGCGACGGAGGCACAUGCAUGCCCGUCCGUCCGGUGUCAUCAUGGGCUAGAGCAAGCUUGCAAAUGCGCCCGUCGACGUCGAGCUCGUCAAUCGCUCGAUGACGGCGCAGACUUGAGCAUGGAUUAGGCAGAGAAUCCACUACGCCCCUGCCCAUCGAAUUGGGGGGAUGCCGGGGUGGGGGACCGGCGCGCCGUGUCGAACUGUCUGGCUGCCCGUCGAGCCCAGCGCGGUGUGCGAGUGCGACGUCGCGUCGAUCGAUGGGCCUGUUACUGAUUAUUCCCCUGCCUCCCGCAUCGCCGGUGCGCGGCUGUCACUACUCGCUGUCGUGCCACCGCCUCCUCGGCAGGGCAGCCGGCCCCCCACCGCUCCGGCGAGGUCUUCCGCGGCUGGACCGACUGCUGAAAUCUCAUUCAGAGCUAGCUGCAUGUCCUUGCGAACUAUUUGAUCCGAUCCGAUCUGGUCUGAUCACUGAGACACUGACAUUGUCGUCGAUGGCAACUCGCGCGGUGUGAUGUUAGAAUCAGAUCGGAUGGCGCCAUCCGCUCUUCGAUCUCAUCAAUCAUUGGCGUCCGGUGAGAUCGUCCGUUGCGCGGACCGGAGACCGCCCAACUGCCAAUCCUCGCCUGCACACUUGAUACUCCACGGGAUACACUGAGCUUCCCGCACGCCUCUCUGGGUGUCACACGACCGUGGUUUCACGUUCCUCGAUCGAUCGGUACGGUUCUCGCCGGCGGCUGCCGAUGGCCAUCCCCUCCGAGACUCCGAUUCAAUGUAAAGCAUGGCCAAGUGGCUGUGUUGCUUUGUGCUCGUCGGCGCGUUCCUGGCCGCCGCGGCGUCUGCGCACGCGCCCAGCUCACGCAUUGCGCCUCGCCUCUCACGGGUUGCCGCGGCAGGUUCGCGGAGGCACACAAGCCACCGGGGAGGACGGCGCCGGACGAGCACAGCGCCGCGGCCCGGCCGGCGGAUGUGCUGAUCCAGAAAGUCCACGCCGCGGAGCCAUUCAGAUCGAUUGCACCCGGACGGUAGAAGAAAUACCGUCCAGCCCUGGGGGCCGUCUGGCCGCCACCAUUGGCACUGUCCAGGCCUCCGCCGCAAGCACUUCUGGGGUCAGGAUGGUUCCCGCAAUGCGUUCCAGCUUCCCAGAGAGUAGACGCCAUGGAGGGCUGUCUUCGUCGACGUGGUUGACGCCACACCUGUCGCGGCGGCGUGGUUUGACGCCAGCGCACAGGCGGCGGCGGGGAGGUGCAGAGCGUGCCGGUGGAGCUACUCGCCAAUGGAGGACAGUGCUUCCUCGGAAGCCUGGCCGCCGCGGCGUCUGCGCACGCUCCUAGCUCACGCAUCCCGGCGUCGAGUUGUCCAUCACGGAUUCACGGCCUCUGUGCCUCACUGCCUUGCGCGCCCUGCCCACGCGUGAUUGUGCCAUCCUGGACAGAUCAAUCGAAUAAUUGAUCAAACGUCCUCGGUGUUCCGGAUAGAACCGACCGAGCUGGCUGCCGACGCAGGUGAUUUUGACGGUGGGGCUGGUUGUGCCAGUGCGGCGGACACGUUACGGCUUGCCGGCUAGCUUGCGGUCCCUGGUUUGCUGCACGGGUGUGGUCUGGAACGCGGGCGAGGCGACAGGCCACGGUGGCGCGCCGGUGUUGGUGAGGGGGACGGGCCGCGCCGUGCGCGCGGGGACAGCGACACGGCGGAACGCGGGGGGCUCCCGCACCGGAGUCCCGUGGUGCGCGCUGUCGGCCUCAUCAUCCCUUAACGUGUCUCCUUUCCAGGGCCGGGCCCUCUUUUUUUCCGUCCCAGCUCCACGUGGACACGCCACGAGAAAACGGCGCCGUCCGUCAGCCCCGUUCCUCCUGUUGUGAGUAGAAAAUGACUUGGGAGAGAGAUGGAGAUGAACAGUAAUGAUGCUUGUCUUCUUAAUCAUUCAUGGUACAUAUUUAUAGGGGUAAUUACAGGAGGUUUAGGAGAUAAACUCCUGGGAAGACGGUAGUGGGCAGUUCCACCUCCUUCACUGCGCAUGUCUGCACGACCAUACGUGUACGCGCGCGGGAGAUUUCCCGCUCACUCGCUUGGACGAGGUCAAAGCGAAUCCUAUUUGCAACACCUCCCAUUCUUUCUCCUCCUCUGCUGGAAGCUGCUCGCCUGGCAUAUGCUGUGAGGAGAUCGAUUUAGAUGCACGAAGAGACGGCAUGAAACUCGAUUUGGGUUGCGGAAAACUUCAGAAGUAUUUGGGCUUCUGCCCAAAUCGACCUCGAUAAUAGCUGCUUGGAUUUCGAUUUGCAUGAUCGGAACCUCGAUUCCUACUUCGGGAUUUCGAAUUGGGUGGCCGGGAUCUCGAUUCAUGAUGCAGGAUCUCAAUUUGGGUGGUGAGGAAUUUAUUUUUGUGUUUUCUUGUUGGCUGCAUCGUCGAGUUAAGGUUGUCGUGGUGGGACAUUGACUUGAUAGGCAUCAAUUACUUCGAAGACUUCUUCUUUACAGUGUAGUACGGCACCAAGUCAUUUUAGUCUGGUCAGUAAAUAGUCUUGUGUUUGUGCUCUUUUAUUCUUUAGGUACAUACUUAGAUUAGUUCAUCGAAAAACCAAAUUGGAUUAAUCAUUUCUAUAUAAUUUGCACCCCAAAAGAAAUCUAACUUGCUGACAAAACAUUGCGGCUCCAUUACUAUUUUAUUUUGUGGAUGAUGGGGAGAUGCUAAUCUGAUAAUCAUUAUUGAACAAAACCAGUGGUACUUGUAGAUCCUUCUUACCAAAAAAACAUUAAAUAGAUUUACACAUAAUUAAAAGGGCAUCAUAGUAAUUUCUCACUAUUUUUUACUUGGUCCCACCAAAUUGGUACUUCUUGGUACUUCUCUUUAGUUAUUUCAUGGUACUUCCUUUGUUUCCACGGUUCGAUUUCGUCGGAUGGACGACUCUCUUUUUUUUUCGAGCACUCUAAAAUUUCUCAUUAUUAUUUUAAUUUUAAAUGUUCCUAAAUUUCUCAUUAUUAUUUUGAUUUUAAAUGUUCCCUCGCUAAUGGAAGCAAUAUAUUGUAAUUGGUGCCUUUUUUUAUAACCGACUUUCUAACUGCCGCUAAUAUUAUCGCGGGGGAUGGAACUGAUGAGAUAUCUCCUUUUUCUCGAUGCGGGCUUGGUGACGCCUUGAUAAAAAAAAAAAUAGAGCCCAGCUCCAAGAGGAGAGCCAAUAGAUGGCUUCCACAUGUUGGGGACACGGAUGGAGAUAUGGAAAGGGAACAAGCAAGCUGCAGCCCCGACGCACACCCCCCGCGCGUGCGCGACGUUUUCGGGACGCGAUGGGAUUGGGUGAGUUGAGAAUUGCGUGCGCCACCGGAGUUAGAGAAUUAGGUGGAUUGGUUAAUCGGAAGUACAGUAGUAGCGAUGACCAUGGACAGUCCCUUCACGAACAAACCAAGCAACGGGGACAACAGAAAGAAAACGACAGCUGAUACUACGAAAAUGUACGUAAGCCUGUUCUGAAUGGUUGGCCAUUUUUGGGAAAAAAGUUAUAAGGACAUUUCAAAUUGUAGAGGGAUAGAGAAGGAACUACACAAGCAACUAUUAGGCCCUGUUUAGAUAGAAAGUGCUAUUAGCACCCUCAAAUGGAAGGUUAAAGUUUAAUACCUUGAGGUGUUUGAAUAGGGUGCUAAACUUUAGCAUAUUUAGUAAUAAAAGAUAAUUAUACCCCUCCUUUCCCUCCUCUCCUUUCCCUCCUCAACUUCUUCCUUCAGCCACCGAUUCCUCCUCUUCCCCGAUUCCGCCGCUCCCUCGCCACUAGGGACUUGCCGCCUCCGUCCCUCCUCUCCUUGCUCUCCAACGUUGGCCUCGGCUAUUCCAUCACCAUCGUACUCGGCUUCCUCAUCCUCCUCGCCUCGCUCCUGCUCGUCUCCUACCUCUGCUUCCGCCGCCGCGGCGGGACUACUGGGCCCGGGAGACCUUCACCACGGCCUCAAGCUCCGGCCACCUCUCCAUCACCGUCUCGUGCGUGCUCUUCGUUGCAGAGGGGUCCGACUCCUGCUCUCCCGUCGAGCUCGGUGGCGACGGGAUCCCUAUCGGCCAGCCUUUGGUGGAGGUGUGCGGCCUCGAGCUCGAGGCGCGAGGCUCGAGCCGCUGCGGCCACGGCCGUGACCUUGCGCGCCACCUCUAGCUGCUCGUACGGGUUCAACGGCAGCGCGGCCGUGAUGGCAUCUGGCAGCCCCGCCGCGGGCGAGGCCAUGGGCCCCGGCGCCUGUGCAGUGGAUGGAGGCCGAGGGUGUGGAGGUCUGCAUCAUCGGAGGCGGAGAGCGUGGAUCUGGGGCGGGGAUGGCCGGCAGGAAGAGAAGCGGGACAGGCAGGCGGCGGGGAGGAGAGAGAGGAGAGGAGAGAGGGGGGUAACCAGGGAAAAAUUGGGCUUGGGAUCACUUUUAGCACUAUCAGCAGGUUUUAGCACCCCUUUAAUGUGCUAAAGAAAAGUGGGGUGCUAAACUUUAGCACACCACUUUUAGCAUCCCUAUUUGGGAGCCUUAGUGCUAAAAAGAUGCUAAAAGUGGUGUGCUAAAGUUUAGCACUUGCUAUCCAAACAUGACCUUAGCCUAUUACAGUACACAUUUACAUGCUGGGCUUCUUGCAAGGAAACAGAGCAAAUUGGCACAGAUUGAUUAAGUGGUGUGGGCCAGACGCGCCGCGCGUAGUGGAGUUUGGAACGUGGGCCGGGCGUUUUCGGCCAGUUUCGGUCAGCCCAACAUAGGCCUAUAGCUUAGCUGGGCCUGCAGACCAUUCCCAAGUCACAAUCACUGUACCUUGUUUGCUCAUUCAAUUUGCUGCGCUGCGCACUGCGCUGACCUAAUCACCCCCACUUAGCAUCCCUCAAUCAUCUCGUUCUCGUUGCGGAAUUUCCUAUCAAAAUUCAAAAACUAGAAGCGCCGGCAGAUAAUUUGGGUCGCAGUCAAUCACCACCAGUCCACCGCUACUAAAUUCGCAAAGAUAAUUGCGCGCCUCUACAAAGCCUGAAGCCCUGAACGAUUUCCUUUUCAAACUGCAUGCCUGGACGGAUAUUUGACUAGUAUAUGCGCUAGCAUAUGGCGUGAUGACAAGCAAAAUCAUAGGCAAAACCCUGUGUCUGUGUCCCACUGCCACGGACGUGCACGCCUUAUACUCGACUCAUGAGCCAUGAACGUGCAUUCCACCAACCUCAUAAUCUAAGCACGCACAACCCUGUCAUAAACGCCGAUAUGCUCCUCCAACUCCAAGCGUCAUCGGCUCCCAUCCCCACUGGCAUCCGAUUCACCCCGCGUCGUUUCGGCUCGCAGGCAAUGCUGCGUUACACCACGCCGCAGCCGUCUCCGCCGAUGUCGCCGCUGGUCGCCCCCGCGACGCCGCGCACGCCCCGCCCCGCGAUCACGCUCACCGCUCCGCCGUCCAACAAGCGGAGGCGCCGCGGGGCGGCGCGCUCGUCCCUGCGCGCCAUCCGCGCCGUGCGCGCGCUGUUCCGGUCCCUACCCAUUCUCAACCCGGCGUGCCGCUUCCCGGGCGUCAUCCCGCGCCACGGCGGCGGCGGCGGCGGGGCCGGAGGCGGGCCGAGGGGCCACGACGGCCACCUCAGCGGCGCGUCGCGGACGACGGGGACGCUGUUCGGGCACCGCAGGGCGCGGGUGACGCUGGCGGUGCAGGAGACGCCCGGGAGCGUGCCCAUCCUGCUGCUCGAGCUCGCCAUGACGACGGGGAGGUUCAUGCAGGAGAUGGGCGCCGAGCACCUCCGCGUCGCGCUCGAGUGCGAGAAGAAGCCGCCGGGCGCCGGCGCCGGGAUCGGCCGCACCAGGCUGCUCGACGAGCCGCUGUGGACGGCCUACGUCAACGGGCGCAAGAUCGGGUACGCCGUGCGCCGGGACCCCACUGACGACGACCUCACGGUCAUGCAGCUCCUGCGCACCGUGUCCGCAGGCGCCGGCGUCCUGCCGGCCGACGUCGUGGGCGCUGGAGCAGCGCCGGAGGGGCAGGAGGCCGGCGACCUGGCGUACAUGCGCGCGCACUUCGACCGCGUGGUUGGGUCCCGGGACUCGGAGUCGUUCUACAUGCUUAACCCUGAUGGUAACAAUGGGCCGGAGCUGAGCAUCUUCUUCAUCAGGAUAUGAAAAUUGGCGACACUUUCGUUUUACAUUUUGGAUUUUGUGUGACUGAGAUUAGCGUGUAGAAGAUAUUUAGCUUCACUAGUUUCAAGCUGUACGGGUAGCUCAAAUUGCUCUGUUUGUUUCUCUGCGUUCUGUGUCAAUGCUUUUCGGAUGAUAUGGAUGUCUCAAUGCUGUGCUUGUCUAGUUAAAUUAUCUAGAAAACAGACAAAAAAUAAAAAAAUUUUGGGUAAGAUCCGCUAAAGCGGGUAGCCUUAACCGCAAUGUGCUAUAGGAAAGCUCGAAAGCUGUUCCCGUCCCUGUCGGGGGAGAUGCCAACCGUCUCUCCUUUCUACGAACACAGCAGCUAUAGGCAGGUCGAAGCUUAUAAGCAAGGUGGUUCGUUCCUUGCUGGGCAGUAUGGUACUAAACGCCGGACAAUUGACACCCCUGCAACUGCAAGCCUGCAGCAUCUCAUGCGAGUACAGAAAUACUACACGUACUGCCCAGCAAGCCUCCCAACGCGUGUAACAGGGAUGCCUAAGUUUUGGUCGUAACAACACAUAGUCCCAGCGGAUUGAAACACAAGAUUAGUAUUUAUUUGACCCUGAGAAUUUCAGUUGCUCCAAGUGUUGCUAAAAUUUAUAUUUUUGAAUCAUAUUUGCAAGAGAGUGGCCACCUUUCUUUUCUUAGUGGAAUUGCUAACUUUCUCAAUCGAAUCAGAGUUUUUAAAAUCUUUGCUACUUCUCAAAAUCAUCCAAACUCUAAUUAGGCAUCAAGAAUUUAAAAAGCUUCUCAUUCUCUAUUUGGCCUGCAGGUCCAUUAGUAUUAAACAUCGAACUGCCGGUAAAAGCCGCAACUGCUAUUGUCUCUGGUGGAUGUGAUGAAGUAACAAAGAGACUUCACUCCUGCACAAAUGUAUGGUCUUACAAAUGUCGAUAUAUAGCUGGCCUGGCUUCUCCAUGCCUUGUAAUUGAAACUACGAAGAAAACUAAUACACGCAAAAUUCACUACAAAUUCUUGUUUAAACCAUAAGAGGAAGCACGGUAAGAGAGUUGGCACGAUAGAUUCAUGGUGCGGGCAAUUGGACACUGCAGUCUGAAUGAGAUGCACCAUGAAUCUGAGAUGAACCAACACCCCGAAUGCUUGCUCUUGCAUUGUGCACAUGCGGACAAGAGGAGUUUGUUUCCGCGAAUGCAGUGGGGUUUCAUCCUCUUAAGCUGCAGGAGUGCAUGCUAAGAUUGUGUCUCGCCCGUCUUCUUUAGAGAUAAGAAAAAAUGUCGUGAAACCUUCAAUAAAUUUUGCAGACAGUACAGAGUACACCAUACCUGAGGAAAGCUCAGGGGCUCGUAAUGCUCGCACUCUGAUGUCUUGGCAAUUGGCAUCACACAUGGUAAUUGACAAUGUUGGAUUAUGUUGGAAAUUGAGGUGGUCAUAAUACCCACUAAUCUGAACUCACUCUGGAGUCGAUCAGCCCUUUUAAUUUUUAGUUACUUAGUGCGGCGGGUCCUUUCGACAGCAGCAGGUGGCAGGAUCCUUUCGACGGCAUAGCCGCCUUCUCAUUUCCAGGUGGCAGAGCCAACGAUGAAGUUCAGACUAUUGUGAUCCCGGAUAACAGAGGCAACCUUCGAUGGAUCACAACUUAUGAGUGCAUAAGUACUUAGAAAUUAUAUAGCCCAACCGGGAGACUAACACUUAUAAGAAAUAGAGCUUUAUUACAACACAACAAUAUUACACAAGAGUGUACAACACCCUCUCUUUAGUGGCUAGUCUAGCACUUACCCUCUACUUCUAUCAUACUCCACUCAUCUACCAUGCUUAUGGUUGAAUGGCAUGGCAAGGAGGGAGCCUUCUAUUUAUAGGGCAAGGGAGUUCAUAGGAUGAUGACAUGUAUCCCCUUCUAGAAUUUUUAGAAGACAAAUAUUUAUGUUACAACAUCCAAUGUCUUUAUGAAAAAUAUCAUGGAUCAGGAGUUACGGGUUCCUUCGACAGAUUACUACAACUGAUUUGACGGUAGCUCCAAUCGCUCGGUUUCUUUGUCUGCGUUCUAUGUCAGUGCUUUCGGAUGAUACAGAUGUCUCAAUGCUAUGCUUAACUAGAGAUGUUUCGAUGAUGUGAUGACCUAGUUAAAUUUGCUAGAAAACAAACAAAAAAUAAUUUCAAUAGACCUGUGUAAGAUCUGCGGAAACGACAACCAUCUUUUCUACAGGCACAACGAUUUGACUGAGGCAUACUGAAACUUUUAAGCAAGGAGUCCACUCCAUUGCCAAGCAUUAUGGCACUAAACAAGCCUGCAACGUCUCAUGAUGCGAGUACAGAAUAGCACCAAGCCAUGAACGCAGCUGCAUUAUAUCGAGUUCAACCAGCUACCAGUCACGGAAAUAGCAGAGAUGCAUGUUCUUUUUUUUUUCUUUUCUUUUUGUCGUAACAAACGCCAAGGCCGAGCGGAUGGAGACAUGACUAAUCUUCAUUUGCACUGGCAGAAUUUGAGUAGCCUAAUGUAGUUGAUCGAGUAUGAUCUUUUUAGUCAUGUUUGUAAGAAAAAUCGCUACCUUUCUUUCUUGCUUUUAGUGGAACUGCUACUUCUUGUUUGUUUGACCUUGAACCGCUACCUUUGGAACCAGCUUUCGCUGCUGCUCAAAAUAUACUUGAUCACUCCCAACUCCAAUUAGGACCAGGGCCGUCUCCAAAGUUAAAAGGCCUUUGUGAUUCUCGACCCGUUUGAGGCCCAUCAUCGCUGGGCAAUAAACUGCUAAUGUAUUGCAGUACUACUGUACUAGUGGGGUACUGGGGUGCGAUCAAGAGACUUCACUCCUGAACAUCUUAUGGUCUUUACGACUGUCGAUAUAUAGCUGGCUUCACCACGCCAUGUAAGCUGUAACUCAAACACUACGAAGAGAACUAACACAUGCAAACUUCGCUCUGAAUUCCUGUAAUAAAAAAGGUAUAAGAGGAAGCACGCAAGGAGGAUCACCAUAUACAAAUCGAAUUAGCGCGGGCAUUUCGACACUGCAAAUCUCAUUGGAAUGAGAUGCAACGGGAAUCGGAGCUCAGCCGUCAUUCAGAAGACUCGCUCUUGGUCAUGGAUAGGAAGUUUUCGUAUCCGGGCUUUGUCGUCAGUAGCUGCAAGCUGAGUUUGUGCCUAGCCUGUUGUCUUCAGUGAAGUCAACAGAUUAAGCACUGGAGUGGCAUAAUAAAUUUGUAUAGUUGUAUUGAUCAUAUUGUCAUACGUACAUUUAAACAUGUACGGCAUGCCUAACAGCUAGAGCUAUUCCUGUACGGGAGCGAGCGCAGCGAGCGGACAAGCAGCUGCCGGUAAACGCAGCAGCUGCGAUGAAGUAAAGAGACUUCACUCCUGCACAACACGUACGGUCUAACAAUCGUCGAUAUAUAACUGGCCGCCUUCUCCACGGCAUGUAUUCGAAACUACGAAGAAAAUUAACACAAAUGCAAAAGUUUGGCGCAGAAUGAAUUUAGAUGAGAGGAUGCUUUAGCUGGCGGCGUUCUCUGUUGAACAAUGAUCCGUACGAACCUUAGAAAUGAUGAUAAUCCAAACCUUUUCUUUUGAGAUGACAGAUAAUGCAACUAAUAAGGUGUCUGUCAUGCUUGUCUGUUCACCGAUGGAAUUUUAACUGUAAUGUUCUAUGCAUAUUGCGCCUAUAUACCGACUGUGAUUAUAGCCAACCUUUGGUCCAUGACUAAACUUUAGUCCCACUCCUAUUUGGUUUCAUGAACUAAAAUGGACUAAGAUCCAUAAAUACUGUUGAACAAAGAUCCUUCUACCCUUCUUCCCUACCCCUUGGUACCCCUGCGCCUACUCCUUCCUGGCGCGAAACCAACCUGAAGCGUCCGAUUCAGCAGCGGCCGGAGCUGGAGACGUGGACCGUCGCUAGAUCUGCGGGCGCCUCCUCCUCCAUCCCCACGGCCAACAUCAUCGUCCUCCCAAUCAAUCCGGCCCCUGGCAAGCUACCACCACCACCGAUGAUGGCAGGCGAGCACAACAAUCAGCAGCGGCUGGGGUCGCCACCAGUGGCGGCACGCUCCUCGACCCGUCACGGUCGGGCCCCACCAUUAUCCGCGCCUAAUCUAUUCAAGGGCGGCAGCGGCGGUAGCGACUGGUGAUAGCAUCCGCUCUCUCCUCCUCUGCUGCUACGGGGUAGGGUGCUGCGCUGGAAGGGAGGGCGGCGGCGGGUGGCGACGGGAGGGACGGCGGUGGGUGGGAGGGAGGCCGGGUGGGAGGGAGGUGGCGGGCAGGAGGGAGCCGGGUGGGAGGGAGGGUAGUAAAUGAGGGGUAGGGUUGUCCUCAACACCCUUUAGUCCACUUUAGUCCAGUUUUGUGGACUAAAGGACUAAACACUUUAGUCCUACAUUUAGUCCAAGUGUUUGGGUGUUUAGUCCAACCAAAGUGUACAUUUUAGUCCAUGGUGGGAACCAAACACCCCUAUAUCCUAUAUUUAAUUUUUAUUUGCUAACAACUCUAUUUAUUAUUUGGAGGAAGGAGAAAAGACUGUAUUUUUAGGUAUGGAAUAAAAGUUUUAUGAGCUUGGCAUGCAUGCAUACAUGAACUCUGUUCCGUGCCUGUCUCACCUUACACCGAUGAUGAAGAGAGUAACACAUAUUUGGUAUUUAUCAUAACUACUCCUCCGGUUUCAAAUUGUAUGUCGUUUUGCAUUUCAAGGUUCAUAGUUUUUACUAUGCAUCAAGAUACAUAUAUAGCGAACAUGGCCCCAUUAGAUCAUAGUUUGUGAUUUCGGUGAUUGAGUGACAACAUAGUUAUUGGGACUAAUGGUUUGCCAAGCAUGUGUCUUGUAGGUUUUCUAGGUCCCAAGUAUGCAAACCAAACCAUGACAAGGUCCAAAUCAUGGUAUUCAAGCAUCCAAACUAUGGUAUUCUUGAUAUCCAAAUUAUGGUAUUCAAGCAUCCAAGCUAUGGUACUCUUGAUAUCCAAAUCAUGGUAUUCAAGCAUCCAAGCUAUGGUAUUCAAGUGACUAAGAUAUGGUAUCUAGGAUUAUUCUAUGGUAUUCAUGCAUCUAAAUGAUAGAAAAUCCAGAGAGUUACAGGGAGCAAGCAUCGGAGCAAGCAGCAGAGCAAUUAGUACAAUGGGGAAAUCAACUUGAGUUCCAGGGAGCACUAGAUGAUCCGACGGUGGAAACUUUAGUAGCGUCGGAGCAAUUCUCAGAGAAGGCAGAAAUUGACCUAUAACACCGGAUGUUCCGAUGCCCUAUGAAGGUGACUGUCGGACGAAGUACAUUUACUUUGCAAAGUUCUAGAGAGGUUUUGGGCAAAAACCCUUCAGCACUGGAUGUUCCGACGGUACCAUCGGAUAGCGUCGGAUAAAUUUUGAUGUGUCAGUGAAGAACUUGGACGCGGGGAGGGCAACGGCUAGUAGCAUUGGAUGUUCCGAUGCCUACCAAAAGAGACCAUCGGAACAUCCGAUGGUAUACUUUAACUAGCCAUUGGAGCAACAGCUCUUUGAGGCUUUGGGCUAUUUAUACCCCCUCCACUCGCCUAUUUUAAGUUUGUUGGAGUGUGCAGGAGUCCAUUGGAGUGCAAGACACAUCAAGAACACAUCCAAGCCACCAAAAAUGCAUAAGUGAUUAAUCAAAGGCUUAGCACAAGCUUAGAAGAGUGAUUGAUUCUGAUAGGCCUAGAGAGGAGAGAGUUCAAUAUGUGCCUGCCUUGUGAUCGGUUCAAGGAGUGAACCACAAGUGUACAAGGUGUGCCGGCACCUUGGAGCCUUAGUGGCUCGCCGGCAAGUCUUCGACCCUCCAGCUUGGUGUGGAGCGGCGUCGACGACCGUGUGCAGGAGAUGAGCCCUCCUUUGUGGAGAAGCUCCGUAGUGGAUAUGGUGUCAAGGUGACUAGAAGAGAGGGAGUGGUGAGCCUUGCCUUAGUGGCAAACUUCUCAUCCGGUUUCGCACAAACCUUUGUGGCAAGUCCAAAACCUUGACCGGGAGAGACUCGGUGACCGGGAGCACAUCCUUGGUAGAACUCCAACGUGGACUAGAGGUGGUAUUUGCCUACCAAUACCACGAGAUAAAUCAUCAUGCCGAGUUUGCAUUCUUCCUAACCCAUUCCUUUACGUUUUCGCAUUUCAUACUUGCAAGUUAGGUGCUUUACUUUCUAGAGUAGUAUCUUGCUAGGAUUGGCUCUAGGUUGGAAUACUUGUUUUGGGUGGGAAGAAUCACUAGAUCAACCAUAGAUUGCACAUCUAGAUAGCAUAAUCUAGUUUAUGUUUUGAAGCAAAUAGUGAAAGCCAUAGGUUAAGGAUUUUAAGUUUGCUUAAUUCAUCACCUCCCCCUCUUAGACUAUGAGCACCGAUUCCUGACAACAUACUAUGUCCAGAUACAUGCUAAUAGUUAUGAAUCUAGAUUUAGCAAAACGACCUGGGACGGAGAGAGAGCAGUACGUACUGCCAAUGUAGUACAAAGUAAUCUGCUAGCCGGUGGAUCAAUGAAGUGUUCCACUUAUUCCAUCCAACAACACGGUCGUAACUGCUUAGCUACUAGUACCACUUUAUGUGCACGGCCGAAACCACAAAACCAACACUCACAUCAUUUCCACAUGAAUAUAAUAAGGCUUGCAACCGCAGAGGAGGAAACUUGCUUGAUUGCUCAGAUUAUUACUUGCGGGAAUGGGAUGCGUUAGGAACUUGAGUUGAAUAACGGGCAAGCGAAGUGGCCGGUGCUUCGUCGUGGCAGGUCUAGCUAGGGGAUAGGUUGCAUGCGUGUGGAAGAUUCCCAUGGCUGGUAGGAAUCGUGGAACAUCUGUUGUGUUUGCACGGUGUCGUUUGCAACCCCGUUUUGUUUGAUUCAUCUUGGAUUGAAGGGGAUUAACCGUAUAAGACUUACUAUAUAUUAGGGCAAUUAAUUAAUCCCUCGCACUAACGGCUAUUCCGGAACACUACUGAGGAGUGGCUUUCCACUGCAAAUCGCAUUUGCCUCCAGCGAAAUAAACAAGCUAAUUAAAGCUACGUACUGAUGCUUCGGCACAAAUGGAUUCGGACUUUAGAGUUCAGCUACUGGCUACCGUCAAGAGCGUGCGUGACAAUAUGACGAGACACUGGUGAGAACUGAUGAGGACAGCUAGUUUCUUUGUCCGAUGUUAGAAAGUACUAACACAAAUUCUAUGUUCAUAAUACAAAGAUACGAGCACUCCUGCUUGUCAUGAAAAAAAAAGUACUAACACAAGCUAUGAUUUACUAAGAAAAAGAUACCAAACUAAUCAUGCUUCCCUCUUUGUAAAAAAUUGAAAGAUCGGGGGCAGAAAGAUGGUUCGUGUGCAUUACUGAUAGAGCUACCAGUCGUGACGUCCCUCUGGUGCACUACUAAGUGUUAGUAUUUUCUAUGUUAAAAAUGACAGAAGUAAUUUAGAAUUUAUAUAUAUAUAUAUAUUACAAUGUAGGUAAUUUAGAAUUUAGAAUUUAUAUAUAUAUUAGUCUACUUUGGGGUAUUUUAGUAAUAUAUGCAGGUAAUUUAGAUUCAAAUUUAAGAGUUAUUUAGAUUAUUUUUAAUUACAAUGUAUGCGCACAAUUUAGAUGCAAAUUUAGGAGGGUACUUUAAACUUUUUUAAAUACAUAAUUGGUAAUUUAGAUAAACAUUAGGAGUUACUUUAGAUUUUUUUCAUAAUGAAAGAGGUGUGUAAUUUAUUGAUAAAUUUAGGGGUUGCUUUAGACUAUUUUUAUAAUAAUAGUGGUAGAUAUUUUUUUUAAAAAAAUAAUAGAUCUAAUGGAUAUGAUGAUCGGAGUCUAACAGAUGUUCUGAAGAAUUUUAUCAGAAUUUUUAAGGUUUAUCUUUUUUUAACGCGUCUCGUAAGCAUUAAUGAGGAGUCUCCAAUUAUUUAAUAGUAAGAUUGUUACCUUUAUUUGAGAUCAGGUAGACUUGAACAUUUUGAUCCAUGCAUGUAAUAAAUGGUGAUUGAGCUGAGCCGGUGGGGCUUUAUUAACUCCACGGGAUCGUGCACCGGCAAGGCCGGCUCGCUGACAAAUAUAUACCAGAUCUCUCCCAUGAUGCAAAACCUGAGAAACACCAAGCCAAGCCGUAGUCUCAUCAGUCAUUCAUGUAGAAUGGAGGACACGAUGAAGCCUGACGCCCGCUUUGAGGCAUACGUCUAGGAGUGAGAUGCGUUGGGAAUCCGAGUUGGAGCCAGAGGGUGAAGGACUGCCCGUCCGGCAUCUUCCCUGAUGGCAGCGAAUGGCAGGUUGAGCGCCUAGAGUGUUUAAACAUAUGCUGAAUCACCAAAGAAAGAACUAUACUCCCUUCUGGAUCGUGCACCUGAGGCGACGACCGUGCAAUUGCCACAAGCAAACCUAUUGCGUGGUUGGAUGGUGCGUUUGAGGAUGACACGGCAUGGUUGGGUUCAUGAAACCUGCUCAUGGCAGGGCAACAACAGCUGAAGAACACAGCUAUCCUAGAGCCGCGAUCCAGUUUCAGUGUUCUGCUACGAUCGACUCGGGGGCAAUGACUCCAAUGUAUGUGCAUCGUGUAUUUUCAGGCGGUUUUCAACUGCACUAAAUACUGGCAUGUAAAGGUCAAAGUUCAAAUAUGGAAGGAAGCAUUCGUUGUAGGAGUACCAAGCAUGCAUGAUGAACUCACUAGAAUAGGUGUUUACAUGUUGAGUUGCAGUACAAUGCGCGCAUGCACGCGGCGUCAGGUUUAGACUUUAGAGCAAUGGACUAAGGAUACAGAUAAUGGCGUUACGGACAAAAGAAUGGUAGAUGGGAGGGCAGUGGGGCUUCAUCGUCUCAAGCUGCAGGCUGAGUUUGUGCCUAGCCUGUUGUACGUCUUGAGGGGCAUGGAAACCAACGGUGAAACACCAACAGCUGGGGAAAGCUCAGGUGCUCAUAGUUCUCGCAUUUUCAUGUUUGGGCAUCACAUGGGUGAUUGGCGGUUUGUUCGAGUACUACACGUGCUUGUAAGUACUCCAACAGCGACACUCUCACCAUGACUUGGCGAGUGUGUUCUGACUUGCAAGCUCUUAGUUUGGCACAAAACUUAACUCAGAGAAUGCAACCAAUAAAAUAUCUGUCACGCUUGUCUGUUCACUGAUGGAUUUUUAACUGUAAUAUUCUAAGCAUGUGGCUGUAUACUGACCUUGAUCAUAUAUUUACAUGUUAUAUUUAAUUCAUCUUCAAUUGUUCAAUGGCUAGACUCCUUGUUGUAAUCUUUGCUUUUGCUUUCUUGUAAACUUCUGUACCUUUUUCCUUUUAAUAUAUAACCAGUAGGGGUGAAAACCACUCCUGUUUCGUCAAAAAUAUUUAAUUUCAUAUUUUAACCGUAAUCUAUUUAUUGUUUGGAAAGGGCAGAAAAGUAUAUUUUUAGGCAAUGGAAUAGAAAGUGUUUGGGCUUGGCAUGCGUGUAUAUAGUGAACUCGAUUCCAUGCCUCUGUGCCUCACUCACCUUCCACUGAUAAUGAAGAGAAAGAUACACAUUUGAUCCCCCAGUGUACAAUGCAGUACAAAGUAAUCUGCUGUAGCCGGUGGAUCAUUGUUCAUUGAAGUGUUCGAGUUAAUUGCACUAACGCAGCCACAGCUACUUUAGGUGCAUUAAUUAGGCUCCCAAGGCGUUGGCCGAAACCCCAAAACCAACACACACACAUCAUUUUCCAGAUGAAUAACAACCGGAGACGGGUAAACUCGUUUGAUGCCAUCUACAGCUCAAUUGUGGCAUUGUGCAAGAACUAGCGAGGUUAUUACUUGCAGGAAUGGGAAUGUGAUGCAGUAGUGAUCGUCCUACAUGUACGCUCAGCCAAGAAGUCCAACCAGGGGAUAGGUUGCCUACAGCCUACGUGUACAAGAGUUCCGUGGUUCUGGGAUUAUUUUUUUUAAUAGUAUAUGUAUCUGUUCAUACACACGCACGCCCACUCAACACACACACCACUCACACCACCCGUGUACAAACAAAACUACAACUACACUCAGAUCCGAGAUCGCGUCCUUCUUGAGAUCACCGGAAUCCUCUGACUUCGUAGGCGACGGGCGCGUCGCGUUCCAUCGUGGCUUCACGCAUGAGAGGCGGACGCUUGGAAUCAAACUAGGUGCGACACCACCAGUGUUGCGAUUGCAAUGAUCGAACUCUGGCAGGCAGCCUCGCCACUGCGAGCGCUACCACUAAGCCACUGGCUCGUUCGCGGUUCUGGGAUUAUUGUGGGACGUCUCUUCAAGGUUGCCUAUGCAGAGGUUCGCUGCACCUUUUCUGGUCCAAAAAGUCCUUGUCUGCAACCCUUUCAUACCAGAGACUCAGCUUUGAUUGGAGGCCUUGAGCAGCUCGUGGACAUCCUCCCCUUACCGGCUGUGCAUGCUUUGCCUCGCCAGAACUCGGAGGAGCGGCUUUCCACUGCCGAUCGCAUUUGCCUUCAGCUAAAUUAAACCGAGCUUAGACCAUCAAACAAAAGCUAAAUUACAUUUUGUAUUUUGUAUGAUUGAGAUUAGCGCAUAGAACAUAGUCUUAGCUAUUACCUAGUUCUAAGCUGUACGGAUGGCUCAAAUUGCUAUGUUUGUCCCUCUGUUUUCAAUGUCAGUGCUUUCAGAUGAUUUGCAUGUCUCGAUGCUGUGCUGAUCUAGUUAAAUUUCUUGGGGCAGAGCGAUAUGCUAUGCUGAUUAUUUGCUGAAAACAAAAGAGAAAUUUAACAAAUGUGAGUAAGAUCGGCCGAAGCAGGUAGCCUUAACGACAAUAAAAUGUGCUAUAGAAGAGCCCCAAGGCUGGCAGCCACCAACGUGCCUGUCCCUCGCGAGCGCAUGGGAGAAGAGCAGCCAGCCACACGGUUGUUCUUCUAGCUUGCUGUUUCAGUUUCAGGUGGUCAUGAACAUAGCAGUUAGCACUUAGCAAUUGCACAACCAAGUCAUCUGGAGGGAGAAGAUUCUGACGAUGAGAUGGUAUCUACAACGAUCAUCGUUUACCCAGCUUCAGGCGGCGCUCCGGCGAGCCGCCGCGUGGAGCUAGGUCGCGGCCCGGGAAUUUCGAAAUCACCCUGAAUAUUUUUGAAUAAUCCCUAAUUUGCCUAAUUUGGAUCGUGACUAUUAAUCGCGAUCCAAACAUUUACUUAAAUACCCCUACAAGUCGCGAUCCGAAUAUUUUCAUUUAGCCCCGUAAUAUUUGCGUAAGCCUCGUCGUCGUCCGGCGCCGCCCGCCCGCCGCCGCCGUCCUCCGGCCGCGCCGGGAGCGCAGAGCGCCAAGGCCCCAUUCACCGGCCCACCGAUACCCCCGCUCAAAAUCUAGCCCCCAAAUGAUACCUACCCAUGACCAUGGCCUCCGGCAUCUCCAUCUGACCGGAGGUACGCUGGAGUCCGACGCGACAUUUGCGGCGCGUCUGAGCUCGCACCGAUCAUGGAGACCUCCACCGGCGGUGCCGAGUCCGCGACGUGUUCGUGGAGACUCCAGGCCCGCCAGGCAUCUGAUGGAGGGUGCCGGCAUACCGAACGCCGCGGCAGGUUGUUCUGUUCUUCCGGAGCAUUUGCAAGGCUGAUGAGCAACACCACCUGCAGGUUGCUCGGAGGUUAACUGAGUUCCAACUUGAAAUUGUCAAAGAGCUAGCAGGAGAUCAAUUCGAUGAUGCCUGAUACACAUGUGCUCUGAAGACUGAAGACGGACCGGCCGAUGAGCACGGUCCGAUACUGAAUGUGUCGAAAAAAACAAAAAUUGUGCCUGAUUGCAUGGUUGCAGCUAAUAACAGCAUGAUGGAUAUCCUCAAUUUCCCUAACGCAAAUCGAACACAUACUGUCAUUUCAUUUGCAAUGUGCCUGCUCCAUUUAUUCUCAUUUGUGAGCAAACCGUCAAUUAACAGCUAAUCGCCAAGCGAACACUUAAACUUCUGGAGCCUGGAGGUGCAUCUGCCGACCAGAUUGUUAUCCACAUCAACCUCCGAUCAGAGGCUGAGCUAGUUGAGGCGUCAUCCUACGCGCCAUUAACACGCUAAGCACUUCUGACUGGAAAAAAGAAAAAGAAAAAGAAAACCAGGUUUCUCUAGGUGCCAUGAGAGUAAAUCAUGGCCUCUUCUCUGAGAUAAUCUCGAUUCCAGUGCUUCAUCAGCAUCUAUGGGCGCCAAAGAGGACCUUUACAGCCGUACCUGCUCGGCUGCUCCUCAUUACAACCCCUUCCUUCUUGAUCAAUCAGCCUGCUGGGAUCAACAAUACAAAUAUUUUCUAAUUGGCACUCUGAAGCAGGGUAUGAUUCAAAAACACUUUGGUGACUUCCUAUGCCCUUCCAUAUGGAUCCUUCAGCAAAUCUCUCUUAGAAAAAGAAUCGACGUUAUGCCUAAAUAUAAUUGGUGAGGGAAAGUUUCUACAUAAAAGAUCGUCAGGAUUCUCAGCAAUUGAAUUCUCCUUUACGUAUGUCACUGCUCGAUGACUAAAAAGGGAUCAUUCUUGCGUUAUUUCUAAUAAUACUACUCGAUUCUAAUAAUGAAACUAAGAUACCUCUUGUUGGAUGCUUGUAUCUUGAGAGUUUUGACUUGCAUGCAGAAAGAAACAGCAGUGUUCCAUCCUCAGUAUAUCACUCUCCCACUAUAAUGAGAAAGAUACGCAUGUCGGCCCGUCGUGUACAUACAUGCUACUGUACAACACGGUCGUACUUGGGGAUGGGAUGUAUUAGGAGUUUGAGCUGAACUAGGGGGCAUGUUGAAAACGACUUCAAUCAUAUGCUUUUGGUAUCACCAACUUUUCGUAGGUCAAUAAGAAAUUGUUUGAAAAGAGAAAAGUAUAUGAGUUCGAUCAGCAUCCAUAUUCCAUCCACACUACUCUGCAAAAUAUACACUCCCAACCGAAACCAGCACUCACAUCAUUUCCACAUAAUAUAAAGUUUAGAGCUGGUGAGGAGGAAACUGGCCAGUCGCCAUUGAUAACUCAAUGGUGCAUGUCUGGCGACUCCAAGCCAGGGCCACCCUGGAACGCUCCCAGGGGGUUGUGCUAGCUAAACCAGCCGCGCGCAAGCCUAAGUUGAUGCAGCCCCUCACCUUCCGUCGUUGAUCAUCUGCUGUAGUGUUCUUGGACAUCACCAUGGCUCGCUGGUCGUGCUGCCGUGGGGUGUUCCCGUUCAUGGUGAUGUCCAAGAACACUACAGCAGAUGUUUAUACGCCCACCCCGUUCUUCAUGCGCAACCUCAGCGCCGACCGUGCGCCCGGCCCCCUGCUAAGAGUUGCUGGUCUGUAGUGCAUACGACAUGUUCAUCAAAAUGGGCUACUGACAAGAAACUUUUGGAAUUUUAUCAUUUCUUUGUUUUUGUGAAUUGCUUUCUGUUCUACUGUAUGUUUCUCUUCUCCUAAAUUUUGUCUCAAUUUGUGAAGUGUUGUUUGAUCUUGCUCGGAUGGACGAUAGGGAGUUGGGGGUGAGCAGAGUUGUCCAAGAAUGAUUAAAGUUUUCCGAUGUAGUACAACACAUUGCCAAUGGAAAUCUACUUUCUCGAGUUUUUUUUUGCAUAUAUAAUAUAAUAUUGUUACCUUUGAGAUUAGGUAGACUUGUAAAUUUUGCUCCAUGUAUAUACGUAAUAACUAGUGAUGCUUGAGCUGAGCCAGUGGGGCUUUAUUUACUCCGCGGCGUUCGUGCACCGGCUAGGCUCACUGAUAAAUAUGGGGCCGUUUGGUUUUAGCCCAGCGCAGCCUUACCAAAUGUUGGCGCGCCAACGCUCGGGCGGUCGAGGCGCCCGCAGCUCGCCAAAUCGCUGGCGGAAAAAUGAACCGGAACUCUGCAGUCGCAGGCGUGGGAGCGCUGGCGCGCGCCAAUGCGUGGACGUCGAACCAAGCAACGGCCAAUCACGCGUGGGCGAGCCUAUGAUUAGCGGGGCAGAUUUUGGAACCAAUCUAAACGUGCCCUAUGAUAUCCAGGGUGAAUCUGAGACAAAGCAAGCCAAACAUCCUUCUCUAUCGUGUCCUGCAGAAUGGAGGACAUAAAGCUUUGCUUUGAGGCAUGCUUCCAGGAAUGAGACGCAUUGGGAAUCCGAGUUGGAGCCUCAGAACAAAGGUGUGCUCGUCCGGCAUCUUCCCAGCCCGAUGGCAGCGGACGGCAGGUUGAGCGCCUAGAGCGUAUAAACAUUUGCGGAGUUGCCUCAGACUGGACUAGGAUGUUUUGAUCUGCACGCUGAGGCAACCAAGCAACCGCCAAGCUGAACUUUGGGGUUCAUGAAACGUGGUUCAUGGGAGGGCAACGACAGUGAAGAACACAACUUCUGUAGAGAUUCCAAGGACCUCACGAUCCAGUUUCAGUUCUGCAUUUCUGGUCACCUGAUUGACGGUGUUGUUCCCAUGAUUGACUCAGGUCCGGUGGCGCCAGUGUACCUGUGUAGGUGUAUUUUCAGGUAGUUUUCCGACCGCACUAAAUACUGAUACGAUACGAGAUCCUCCCACUACGAAAAAAAGGCAGUCAUUUGUUGUGCCAAGCAUGCACGAUGAACUCGCUAGAACGGGUAUACAACACAUGUAAUGUUGUUGGAAUUAGAUGUGUUGGGAAUUUGAGAAUCGAAGCCGUACUCUUAGCAGUCGCAGUGUUGGAAGUGUACAUUUGUGAAUUUUUUUUUUGAGGAAACAGCAGGGGUUGCUGGUUGCCCUCCUACUGAUUAUACUGUAUAAAGUAAAGAGACAGGUAAUAGUGCCAUACAAGGUUAUUUGUGAAUAUUUAAUUGCUAAAUAAAGAUAAGAAUAUCGCUGCAAAUAAUAAACUAGAUUUGUAAAAAAGAAUUACUGCCUUCGAUCUUAACCAAAAAGCGACAAUCAAUUAUUCUCUAGCUGCCCAUAAUUAAUGGAUAAUGAAAAUCCUCUGGCUCUAGUGGAAGGACUGUCCAAGUUCUCCGGCUUACAUGGCUUUGCUAACACAGGUCCAUCUUUGUCGAGUUAAUUUUGAUCAUAACAAUAAUGUUCCCUCUGAUGUUAGCUAGGCAGGUUCGUUCAAUUUACUCCAUGCAGAAAUGCAAAAUCUCAUCUGACUACCUGUUGACUGAGCAAAGCCGGUUUGGUUCAGCGAAUCAUCGACUCCGCACCGUACCAUGUAGGCACACCGGCUAUAAAUACGUGUGGUUUCAGAAAAGCGGAGAGAAAGCAAGCAACAAAACCACGUUCUCCGUCGUGUGUGGAAGGGCGACGAAGUCGACGCUAGCUGCGAGGCACGACACCAAGAAUGAGACGCAUUGGGAAUCCGAGCUGGAGCUGGACUGCCAAACAGCCAGAAGCACAAGGGGCGCCCGUCCGGCAUCGUCUUGGAUGACAGCCGUCGCCAGGUUGAACAACGGCUAACGGCGGACGAGCAUCUGCAGAGCAGUUCUAGAUGUGGCUGGAAGGCAACCACGCGAGCGAACCACUCACGAUAGCACAGCGUUGACGAAACCCAGUUCGCGGAAGCUCAACUAUGGCUGCCGAGGAUCGUGCUCUUGAACCCUCUAUCGACUCCAGCGAAUCUAGUCAGCUCUCAAAAGAUUGAAACGCGGUGAAAGCUUUUCAGUUGCACCUGAAUAAUUCAGACACCUAGCAAUUGUCCCCCCAAAACUAAAGCUUUUCAGUUGCACCUGGUGAAAGAUUCAAGUGUUCGAGUUAUUCCGUCCAACAGGCCACUCUAUAAGUAUCAGGGGUCCCAACAGGCGAUGGCCAAAGCCCAAAGACAUCACAUCCUUUCCACAUAAAUUUAGGACUUAGCUAGAAGUGACAAGGAAGAAGAAACUUGGUAGCAGGUGCCUUCAACUAUGAUGACUCAAACGUGCAUAUGGCUAGUGAGGGGCUAAUAUGCGAAUGGGAUGCAUUAGGAGUUUAUGCUCAACAGCAGGGCAAACGAAAUGGCCAUUCCGUGACACUGCCAGAGGUUUGUGCAUCAAAUCUGGUGGAGUAGAAUAUUUCCCAUGUGUCCUCAGGCCUGUACCCCGCGCCAUUGUAAGCGAAGUUGUCUGCACCUUGUUGUUUGGUUGGAGAAGACUUGUCUGCUCCAGCUCCUCCAACUUUCGGAGCUCAGCUGUUGCUGAAGUAAAUGAUGAAGAUGGAACUUGGGCCAAAUACUAGUAGUUUCUUACUUAGAUCACUAUCAAUAAAGCAGCAAAGAAACCUAAUAUUUUGUACAAAACAGCAUGAGUGGAGGAUAGAGAUGUCAUAUAUGUAUCCAUAAUGAUCCAUGAUGCUCGUUCCAUCUAAAUCCAGUUCCUUACAAUAUUGGAAGGCAGCCGCACAAAUAUACAUACACACUAAAUAAGUCAGUAACACACAGUUGAAUAAUUGAGGGUGAAUAAAUGGAAAAGAACACGUGUGCUUUACUGCAAAGGGCUAAAUGGCGACUCGAUCCAUUAAACUCUCAAGAUACCUGUCCUUGUCCUACUGUUGUUAGUGAGGUACUCCCUCUGUUUUUCUUUAUAUGAUGUUCCGACAAAAUUUUUUGCCUGCUUCCAGUGCAAAUAUUUGGUCGGGAACGUCAAUUUAAUUACGAAGGGAGGUAGUUCUACAUUAAGAGUCUGACUUAUUACUCGAUAUGUGCACGGUGCACCUAACACGUCAACACUUCCUCUCGCAUAUAAAUGGAUCUGCCUUUCAUUGUGCAAGGGGGAGAGAGGCAAGACAGCAUUAAAAGACCAAACACCUCGUGCACACAAAUUCAAGAGGAAAACUUGCAGUAGUAGAAACGAACAUAGGGCAGUGAGCAUUGGCAAGAAUGGUUCCCCCUGCUGGUGGUAAGUGGUGUGUGUUCAUGGUGAGAUACUGGGGAUGAGAAGUGUCGGGAGCUGAAGCUCAGCGUUGAUCUCAAGUUUUGGGACGCAUGAGAGUCGAGGAAUCCAUUUGGAAGGAACCGGACUAUGUCAGGACCGCUGGACCGGGCAGGCUGUGGUUUGGGGAGCAGCGCACACCGUCCCCGGUGGCCGUGGCCAAGGAUUCGUGCUGCCGCACUACCGUGGAUGGGUUUCGAGGUUUAAACUAGAAACCAAUCCAACUCCUUCAGAAACUCAACCCGUAGUUUUGACUGGCUGGUUUUACGGUUUGCACCUCUUGGCACCAAACCUAGAACAACACUCCGUUUCCGAUUUUCGUUAACACUCCGCUUUUCCAUUCAUCGGAGCUUCAAACCUGCAUAAAUUAGCGCUUGACUAAUGACACCAUUUGCCGAUAGUGAACAGAAGAGUGCGGACUGAUUUUCUGAUGUACCAAGACUGCUCCGAUCGUCUUGAUCAUCUAGGCCCCUCCAGCUGGUUCGAAGACGAAUAGAUCUGGUUAAUCAAAGUUCGAAGCAAAACAAGCCAUAUGACCAAACAUUGAGAGUGCAGCACUGAACAAUACACUGCAAUGUCUGAAUGAGACCGCAUAUCUUAAGCUCCUACUCCAGACUCUACAGCUCGUAGUAAUUUACCCCCAGCGAACCCAACCUUAACUCCUCUCCUGAAUGCACUCAACCACCCCCGCCCGUAACAGUAACAUUAGAUACCGGAGACAAGCAAAACUGGUGCGGCAUGUAACCUAGCUAACUAGCAUCAUGUGGAUCGGUUUAUGAAGCUGAUGGUGAAAAAGUUGGUCGGAGUAUCUAACCCUGAUCGUAAUUCUGGUACUAAUAAAGAAAGAGGCCAUGCUUGUAAACUUGCAGCACCGAGGUUCAAUUUCUUUACUGGUAGCUGGGAGCUGGCCAGUGCUCUGUUUUCACUCUGUUAGACAGGGGAUCUUGUCGUAUGAUCGUGUCGCAUAGACAAAAGUUUGUUCCAUUCAUUCUCUAAAUGCUGUUUUUUUUGUCUCCCCAGAAAAAAAAUCCUUCAAGAUUUGCUAAACUUGAUAUUUUCGAAAUAAUUACAUGUAUUUAAAAUGAAAUCAUUGUUUGGCCGCUUCUCCAAUUAAUAUCAAAUCGGCGCAGCUGUACAGAGACAGGACCAGUCGCUAUAACUAAAACGUUUUCUAGUUUGUUCCCCUGUUUGGCCCACUUGCGACUCAACAACUUUCUUUAACUCCUUUUCUUCAAAAAAAAAAACUUUCUUUAACUCCAUAUGUACCACUAAAUGCAAAGAGAAUUCCAGAUGCUGCAUUAGCUAACCUUCAGUGCUACGUUUGUUGUCGAUAUAUAUAUGCGUGGUUUCUCCAGCUCACCUUAGAAGCAUCAGGGAACAAGGCCCAAAAUCCCAAGACAAAACUGGGGAUGGGUUCCCAUGCGUGGCUGGAGGCUGGUCGACUGGUGUGUUCGUGGUGGGAAAAUGGGCAUGGGAUACGCCGGGAGCUGGAGCUGAAGACACGACAGAUGUUCUGGUACGGUUCCUCUGGGAAGGCAAGGCCCUCGGGUUGCAUGGAACGGGGAGGACGACGAAGCGAUGAGCUGCCUCGCAGCGAUUGUUGGAGGCAAGCCACGAGACUGCUCAUGAAGCUUGCGCCUCGUCGCAACGUCACGAAGCUUAUAGAUGAAUUGUGAUGUUAAGGUCAAUAUGUGAGGCCAAUCUUGUCAGCUUUCUUCCCGCCGUGCGCAAGGGAAUAAUAUGGACUAGUUGAUGUCCUGCUACUGUGCUCUAGUGGUUGUGAUGGAUUGAGAGAAGGUCCAGCUGGUGCAUAAACCUGAAGUCCAAGUGUUCAACAUGCAUCGAUACAUACGGGUGGUUUCUCCACACGCUUUCAUAAAAACUACAAAGAAAAACCUGAUGCGUUCGAAAUUUUACUAGAUUCUUUUAACACAAUGCCAAGAGGCCCAAGAACGAAGGAGGAUCACUGUGGAUCAUAGUUGGCGCGAGGUGAUUCGAUGCCGAAGUCUUGUUGGAAUGUGAUGUGUUGGGGAUUUUAGCCAAAGCAGGUUUUGCAUCAUUUGCUAUUCCUCUCCGCACCCAUUUGGCCACAAGCUGCUCCAUUUUCCUCCGAUUGGAUUCCGCAUCAGGCGCUCACAUGGUAACUGUCAAACCGCUCAGAGCCCUCAUGCUCUCGGUGGUUCACAUGCCAUAAAGUGAUAUCUAUUACUGGAGUUUUUGUAUGAUCUCUAUGCAAAUCUGUAAGGAAUGGUUGUGGAGAAUUCAUUAGCUGAGAUUCGGGGUGAGUGAGAAUGGAAAAUCUUGUCUCUUGGGACUUGUUUUCGAUUUUCCCCUCAUAUUCUGAGGCAAAAUAAAAAUAGAAAUCGUAACAUUAAAAAUAAAAAAAUGUACGUAAUUUCCAUGCGUUCCAUGUGCCUAUUUGUAUAUUGACUGUGAUAUUUCAUUCAUUUUUAGAUAUUCAUAAACUGAUUAAAUAAAGUAAAAGGUGUACGAAGAUUGCAUGAAUACAUAAUGGAACUACAUUUGAGUUAUUACUAGAAACCAUGGCGCGGUGUUGCCGCGCCUUUCAGGAUUGGGCCAGCAGCUGAGGUGUUUAUAUCAGCCAUGGACCAUGGUCCAUGUUUGGAGAGUCUGGUGUGAAUGUUAACAUAUAUUACUGAGACUCGGAAACUGAUCUUAGCGGGAACAGUAGAAAGAUGGUGGUGUACAUAAAGUGCCCACUUGUGUAAAUUAGUUUUAGGACAUACUCCCUUCGUUCCAAAUUAUAGGUCGUUUUGACUUUUCUAGAUACAUAGAUAUUAUUAUGCAUCUAGACAUAGGGUAUAUCUAAGUGCAUAAUAAAGUCUAUGAAUCUAAUAAAGUCAAAACGACAUAUAAUUUGGGACGGAGGGAGUGCAUGUUUUUUAGAUUGUGCAUGAUGUUGGUGGUCAGUAAGAACCAAUAUGUACAUAAAAGCUUCUUUCUGUAGCUGUAGCAUCUCUAUAUGGAGGCACAUCAUGUUAAAUUUAUGCAGCAAUAGAUUAUUCUUGUACGGACACACAAUCCUGUUACCAGAUGGUGAAAAGGUAUUAAAGGUGAAAGUAGAUGAUAUGUAUUUAUAUAGCAAAAAAGAUUGAUCUUAGCUUAUCAGAAUUUAUAUAGCAAAAAGAUUGACACGUAUGACAUGAAUUUAAGCUGCAUGUGCAUCCAUCUCUUGAGCAAAUCUAUACUGCACUGCUUUAUAUAAGACGAUACAUUCAAAACUUGCAAGUUUCUCAAUGUAUCCUCAUUACUAUUCGUCGAUUUGGCAAUUCUAUCUCAACUUUGAACUCAGACCAGUGCAGACUACAAGGAACUUGAGGGGGGAACAAUCAGCAACAUCAGAUCUCAAAGGAUCCACCACUGAAGGGCACGCACAGAUGGAUCUGCGGUUGAUGAAGCAUGAGCGCCAGCAAUGCUGCUGCGAAUUAGGGGUGGAUAAGUGGUCCUGUCUUCGCCAUCGGUGCUCUCUAAGCUGCUAACACGCGACAAGAGUCCCUAAGCAUUGAGUACUACCAAGUAGCAAUAGCUCUGCAAGUGGAUUGCAACAGCAGUAAAUAAAUAUAGAUGAAAAUGAGAGGAUAUCACUUGCAAUCUUUUGGAAGAUGAAUAAGAAAUGAAUUUGUCAAAGUUAGCUUGAAAUUUCAAUGUGAUGUCCUUUCCUUAUGGUAUGAUAUUUGCUAUGCAUACCUGAUUGUCAAUGAACACAAACAAAAGUUUUUUUUUUUGAGUAAUAACACAAACAAAAGGUUAGGCACUACGUAAACUGUUAGAUUGGAAUGGAUAAAUCACCUUUAGUUGUCCUACCGGAAGUGCAUGCCUUGUAAACAGAGGUCUUUCAAGUAGUAUAUGAAUAUGAAAUUAGCAAAAACAUUAAUUUAAAUCAAGUAAAGUAAAUAUAUGCAAACGAAUAAGCUUUCAGACAAGAAGCCUGUGUUGAUCUUGGAAAUAGAUUAAUAUAUUGCAGAGCCUAUGUAAGCACAUAUAUUUUGAUCCUAUAGUUAAAACAAUGAAGAUAGUUAAUCAUAGCUUAUUGUACUUAGGACGCAAAUCCCAAUAUUGAGAACGACAUGGUUUUAAUGUAAGUGGAGAGCCAAAGAGUAGUUUGUUCUAUUUGACGGCAUUUGGCACAAACUUCAUGAAGUCGUGGAAGAAGAGAAUUAGCAUACGUGCUGAAUGUAAGCAAGACUGCUACCACAACACAAAAUUAUCUCAGGCCUUGUUUAGUUGGCCAAUUUGGGAGGUGCCAAAUUACUGUUACAGCACUGUAGCACACUGUAGCGUUUCGUUUGUAUUUGUGAAUUAUUGUCCAAAUAUUGACUAAUUAGGCUUAAAAGAUUCGUCUCGUAAAGUACAACAAAACUGUGCAAUUACUUUUUAAUUUCAUCUACAUUUAGUACUCCAUGCAUGUACCGUAAGUUUGAUGUGAUGGGGAAUCUUCUUUUUGCAUAGUGUCAAAGUUGGAAGUUGGGAGUAACUAAACAUGGCCUCACUUUCAUCCAAUAGCCGGCCGCAGUCCCACAGAAUGGGAGCACUUGCAAGAAGGAUCUGAGGUUCUGUUGCUUUUGCAGGAACGCCUCUGGUUCAACCAACACAGAAAAGGGACAUGCUUUAGGAUUUUAGGUGAUGGUCUAAGAACAUCAAGAACUAGGGGACAUCAUUACAGCAUGGUUCUAACAACCAAAUAUUUAUUCGGCAAGUGCUGUUUGGCUAUUCAGUAAGCAUCUUACCUUGGAGGCAUUUUUUCGAACAGGUGUUUGUCGUCGUCCAUUUCGACGGCCGCUCCGGCUGUUGGGGUGCUGGCCGUCGCGCUCUGUGGCGUCGGUAAUCGCACACGCACAGGGCGCGGGGGAGGCGCACAGCAGGGGCGCCGCUCGUCUUCUUCGUCGCGCGCGAGCGGCGGGUAGCGGGCAUUGGGGAUGACGAGCGGCGGGCCGCGGGCAUUGGGGAUGAGCUCAGGAAGGAGCAGAAGGGGGCCGGACUCCGCCCCCGGCUACAGUGUCGCGCGCGUUCCUUCCCGGUGCUGCGACGGUCGCGGGAGCAAGGAGACAACAGCCAUGGAUACUUGCUAGGUAGGGGAGGGGAGCAGCGAGGAAACGAGAGUUGACUGGGAGAUUUUUUUGAAAUAAUAAGUUGACUGGGAGAUUGGCACUUGCUCGCGGGUGCGGUUAUCGAGCGGAGUAACGGCUCAGGUGACGUCAUCUACGUGCAAGAGGGUAUGGAAACUAAAAAAAAUUAUAACUUUUGAACCGCACUUAAAUUUUUUAUAACAAGCUCACUUAAUUAUGUUUGGAGAAUAUUUUUUAAAAUUUUUUUUAAUACGAAUUAAUUAGUUAUGACUACUGCGAACAAAUGGUUGAACACCACGAACAAAAAAUUAAACAUUGAAUUCAUAUAUUUUGUUCGAUGUGUACGAUUAUUUUGUUCCAUGGGUUUGUAUAAUUUGUUCCACGUGUAUAUGUCUUGAUUAAAAAAUGUGAAUGAAAAAAGUUCGUCCAAAUAUAGUCAAGUAGGAUCUUGUUGCAAAAGUUUUAUCGUUAGAAAUCCAAUGGUGCAAUCCGAAUUUAAUAUUGAUGCCUGGUGUAAAAUUUAUAGUUUUUGUUAUUCCAAACGGUUUGCAUGCAUGCAAGAGUAUCUGGAGAGAGUAUUCAUGCAUGUAGAAAAGACAAAAAUGAUGACACGAUCCACGUGCAUGCAAAUCCAAAAACUAAAACAAAGUCAUAACUAUUGAACCGAACAUCCAAAUUAAAAUUUAAAUUUUAGUUGCACCAUUAUGUUUAUUAUGAUGAGAUCUUCAAAGCACGACUCCACUUGACUAUAUUUGGUAACAUUUUUAAAUAUUUUUUACAUACGAAUUAAUUAGUCAACAAAUACUUGAACACCACGAAUAAAUUAUUAUUUUCUGCAAACAAAAAAAUAAACAUGAUGAAAAAAAUGGUACGAUGCGAACAAAAAGAUUGAACAUCACGAACAUUUGAUUGUAUAGGACAAAAAGAAAAACUGAACAUUGUGACUAAAUAAAUCCACAUAAUUGAACAACUUAAUCUACAAAACCAAAUAUUGUAAGACAAAAUAGUAGAAUAUGAGUAUCAAGUUGGAAGAUUUUUUUCCAGAUACAUAUAUCUGGAAUAAAUUAUACGAACUCAAGGAAAUUAUACUCAUAGAACAAAUUAAAUGAACUCACAGAACAAAAAAUAAAUACAUCUAGAACAAAUUAUAUGAACUCACGGAACAAAUUAGUAGUACACAUUGAACAAAUUAUAUGAACUAACGGAACAAAAGAUCUACAUACCUUGAAUAAAUUGUAAAAACUCACAGACUUAGUAUUUAUACGCUUAAAACAAAUUAUAUAAACACACCGAAUAAAAAUUUGUAUGCUUGAAAAACAAAUGCAUUAUGGACAUAUAACAAUAUUGUAAUCCACGAAUCAACAUGAUUGACUAGUUCAGUCUAUAAAGCGAACAAACAAUGUAACACACCAAUCUACACGGUUGACCAGUUCAUAUCAUGAUAGAAAAAUAAAAAUAUUUAUACAUGACCAACUAGUUGUUACAGAAAGAAUAAGAAAAAAGAAAAGUUAGUGUUCAACAAUUAAACGAGUCUAUAUCCUUAACCAAUUCAAUCUAUAAAAGGUGACUAAAUGAGUCAGCUAUGUGAAGGAAUGAGCCUAUAAAUUGAAUAUAUAGAACAACAAAAUAUACUAAGCAACCAAAAUUAUCCAGUAGAUUACUUUAAAAUAUAAUUUUGAAAGUACCGCUAAAGAAAUUAUGUACUAGAAAAAAUAUACACAUGUUCAUAAAAAUACGAAAUAGAAGGAGUAAAAAUAAAUAAUGGAAUGUAGAAAGGAAAAUAAAAUCAAUGAGGAAAAAAAGAUAAAUUACGUACAAGAAGGAAUAUGCAGAAGAGAAUCUAAAUUAAAAUAGAAAAAAAAACAUGAAUUAAACUAAUAAAAAGUAAAAUGAAACCAAAGAGAGAUAAAGAAAAAGGAAUGAGAAAAAGAAAUCGAAUAUGGCAUGAAAGUAGCCUACAUGCAGUAGCAAUCAAAAAUAAAGGAAAAGGCAAAAGAAAGAAAAGAUGAGAAGAAAAAAAAGAAGGGAAAGAUAAAGAAAAUAAAUAGUAUUACCAAAAAUACAAUAAAAGAUAAGAAUAAAAGAAAAGGAGGAAGAGAAAGGAAAAAAAGGAAAGAAAAAUAGCAAAAACGUGAAAGGAAAAGAAAAACAAAAGAUAGAAAAGGAAGAAAAUAAAUAUAUUGGAAAAUAAAUAAAAGAAGACAAAGAAAGAUAAAAAUGGAAAAAUGCAUGUGCAUGACAGGAAGCAACAUGCGAGGUGAUAGUGACAGAAUAGUACUAACAUGCAUGCACUGUGGUGGUGCUGAACUAGGCUCUGUUGCUUUCAUGCACACCGCAGAAAAUAGUAUAAGCGGGCCCCAUCACACGGCAAUCACAGAUUUUACUGGGCUGAUGCGUACUGGCCCAUCCAAGAUCCUUCAUGCGACAAAAUGAUUCCUAUUACAUAUGCGAUGUAUAGUCGCUGCGCUUUCGUGGAGGCAGUCGACCAGAGGACGAGCGGAGAGGCUCAACGCUGCAGCAAGGAAACGACGCGAUGUUUAUGGAGGGACGGUGACCAAGAACAACGCAAUUGGACGGAUCGGAUCAAGCUCGCUGACAAUCCAACGGUGCCCAAAUUGAGGCGACGUGGUCGAAUCGGUGAAGAGAUCACUGGUGACGGUUCGUUCUUUAGAGAUUCUAUCAACCAAAAUCAAAACCAACACUCACGUGAGCACGUCCUUUCCACAUCAAUAUAAGGCUAAAGGCUCACAACUCGCAAGGAGGAAACUCGCCAGAUGCUAUUGACGCGUAAGAAACGUGCUGGACAAAUGAGGUGCCUGUGGAAAUGGGAUGCAUUAGGAAUUUGAGUUGAAGGUCAGAGCAAGGCCGUCCAACCAUUUGGCAAAGUCAAGUAUGCGUGAAGAAGAUUUCCUUUGCUGGCUGGGGUUGUGCUUUGACAGUUCUUACGAUUGUCUGCUAUUUCACUGUCUGCACUUGGUUUGGUCACAAGCCUUGUCUGCUUCCCAGAUCAUCCAGCCACUGCCUCCAUGCUAGUCCCUCGACCAAACAAGGUUCCGAGUUCCCCUGGUCAGCACACAGGCUCCGAUCCGUGCAUCACGCUGGGGAAAAGAGCGCGAACUCAGUCCAGUGCAACGGGAACGACGACACCUUCGUCAUUUGAUGAGUUUAGCUAGAUGGACGAGGAUAACACGGUCUGCAAAGCGGCUCGAUGGAACUGGUGGGCGAAUAGCUACCAAUUUCUUCUCCACUAUCAGUAAAGGAAGGAACAACCAAAAUUAAUUUAGCAAUACUUUUUUUUAACAAAACUUCAUGAGUAGAGGACAGGGAUAUAAUUAGAUAUAUCGAUCAUGCUCUGUGAUGCUUGUUUUGUCAAUAAAGUUCCUACAAAACUGGAAGACAGAUAGCACUAGAAACAUAUUGAAUUAUUUAUUUUAAAGAAAAUGUUGAAUUAUUGUUUUUAAGAAAAUGUAACCUAUUUGCAUAAUUUUCCAUGAUUAUUAUAUGUGGUUGCCAGGGAUUCCUAAUCUCCCCGUAAUAUUAGUACUGACGUAGCCGUUUUUUGAACUCAUAUUUAAUUUAUUUUUAAAAAAUAAUAUUGAAGACAAAAUUAGGUUUCCCAGAUCGUUUCCGAUCAUUUUCAUCACUAAUUCAUGAUUUUAUUUCUCCAAGAAAAUCUUGAGUUUAUGUCAUGUGCCCCAAGUGGUUGUUCGUGUAUUAACUGAGAUAUCAUUCAUUUUUCAUAAGUUAAUUAUAAGUUGGUUGAAAAAUGAAAAAGUGUACGAAGAUUGCAUAAAUGUGUAUUGUGAUGGAACCACGUUUGAGUGAUAGAUUAUUCUAUCCGACAACCCAACCACACUACAUUUACUCUAAAACUAACAUGAUCACGUCCUUUCCAUAUAUGAAUAAAACGCACAUAACUCCCAACAAGAAAACUCAUCACCAAAAUCAUUCGUGUGUAUGCAAAAGAUUUCCCUUGGCUGUUUGGAUGGAGACCUGCGGUCAGGCAGCAAUCCAGACCGACCGUAGGUUGACGAAAUUGACCUCCUCGAUUUGGCUUCUUUGGAUCGGACCCAGGAAAACCUGCCUACGCCAGGCAGCAUCUCCAGGAGUCCGAUUUCCACUGCCUGCGGCCGGAUCGACCUGCCUGGCACAGGCAGCUUCUCCAAGGCUGCAAGCAAACAUGCCCGCACUGAGCCAGGCAGCUUUGCCAGGUUCACAACCAAAUACGCGAGUGCUGUUUGCAUCUUGUUUGGUCGGAAGCCUUGUCUGCUCCCCUGGUCAGGCACCUCCCACAUGCUAGGCACUCGGUAUUGGAGGCCCACAUCUAGUUCAGCAGAGUGUGGACAGCCUCUUCGAUUGCCAGAUGUUCGCUGGGCGCCUGGCCUUGCUGGAAAACUAAUCUGGUGCGGCUUUGCAGUUUGUACUGUAGAUCGUGUUUCUCUCCAGCUAGCUCAACGCAUCCUGAUGAUGAAGCAGCCAUCGCUCCGGUGACACUGGACGUGUUUAACGCUCUUCUCGAGAGAGAUGAACAGAAUCUCAUUCCCCACUGCAUAAUAAAUCAACAACCAAAAGCAUUAGCCCUUUUCUUUUCAAAACAGCAUGAGCGGAGGAGAUAGAUGAAACAUGUAUCGAUGAUGAUCCAUGAUACUUGUUUUGUCGUACAUACGUACAGUUCCUAUAAAACUGCAGGCAGAGUGUAGUACCGGGAAAUGGUGAAUUAUUGAAAGUGUUGCUUGGAAAAACAAAAAAGAAAAGGAAAAUGAAACUCGUGCAGAUGACUGCGAAGAGGUAAAUGGCUAUCCUGUACUCCCUCUGUUCUAUUUUGACAAUCCUAUUUCACUCUAGCACAAUGAUCAAUAAAAGAUAAUUUUAUCAUCUAUUUAACCAUACCAUUAAUUAUUCCUCAUAAACAAGCGAUUCAUUAAGGUUCAAACUUCUUGAUACCCACGUAGCUAAUCUCAUAUGGAGGAACGGAGGGUCGCACGUCAAGCUCGAAACAUCUAUUAAAUAGAUGGAUAAUUGGAUUGAAAUAAGAGAAUUUUCAGAUUUAGAAUCUAAAUCAAAAGAGAAUGGAUGGAGUACUAGGCUAGCAUUGUAUGUUGGUGAACCACUAAAUUAUAUAAGAGCCUGAUUUACUCGAACCGUGCACAGACUUCAACUCUCGCUUAUAAAGUGGUGCAGCCAUUUUAUUGUGCUAGGAAGAGACAUCAUCAUAAACCCAAAGCUCACCUCCUGUAAAUACAAAUGCAAGAGAGACAGAUACUAGUAUCAAACAAGGCACCGGUACAAAGGAGGUGGACACCACACGCAAGGUACUAAUGUAUGUGUAUGUUCAUGGUGAGAUACUGGGGAUGGGAUGUGUCGGGAGCUGAAGCUCAACGUUGAUCUCAAGUUUUGGGACGCAUGAGAGUCGAGGAAUCCAUUUGGAAGGAACCGGGCUAUGUCAGGACCUGUCGGGCCGUGGUUUGGGGAGCAGCGCACACCGUCCGCGGUGGCCGUGGCCAAGGAUUCGUGCUGCCGCACUACCAACCUGCAUAAAUUAGCGCUUGACUAAUGACACCAUUUGCCGAUAGUGAACGGACAAGUGCAGGCUGAUUUUCCGAUGUACAAAGACUUUGGUAAUGAAGAUUAAAAAAAUUUCAAACUCACGACAAUGUUGGCAGUUUCUACUUUGUACAUGGACAAUCCAGAUGUUUGGCUGCCUCUCGCUGGUGACUGAGUGAGCCGGUGCGGACGGGUUAGUUCGCCCGUGCACUGGAUAGACUCGCUGAUAAAUACCACGCUUAGGGUGGUAAAGAACUUUCUAAUUUAACCUAGUAAAUUUAAGGAUUGGAUUUAAUAAAGGACGGGCCAUAAUACUAUAUAUGAUUUUGAACUAAAAAUAAAUAAAUAGAGAUCAGUUAUAUUAUGAAAAAUGUAUGAGAGCCAUGAUCCAUUACAACCCCUAACCACGCCUCUCCGUCUCUCUCCAAGGCUGAGAAGAGUGGGCGAAGCUGCCCUGUCGAUCCCCCGGGUUGCAUAUAACGGAGGACGACGACGAAGUGAUGAGCCGGCCGGCUGCAAUCGCUGCGGCAGCAGUUGGGAAUGGAAUGCACUGGGUGUUAGAUUGAUCUCUUUCCCGAUUGGCCCAAAGGCCAAUCAGGACCUUGAUCUGCGCCCUGAUCGGGGGCGCUCACCCUAUCAAUGGGUGGUGGGCCCCUGUCGCGCUGCGCUAUAUAAACAGGGUGGGGGACCCGGCUCGGCUCACGAGGUUCGCCGCAGCCAGCCGCCCCCACCAACACACCUACCGAUCUAGGUUGCGCAGUAGCGGCGGGAAGCACCACCGCCACCUCACCGGCGACCGGAGUCGGCACUGCGCGUCGCUGCCUUGCGCAGACUCCAUCGACAGAACCUGCGAUGGCCAGCAGCUCUGCUGCUCCCACCUCUAGGGGUGAAGGUACCCCAUUUCUCUCCCUCUCACACUAGGCACUCACCAGGAACACCAUGUCCCUUAUAUCUCUCUCGAACCCGACUAGAUGUGCGUCUAGAGAUCCUAGGAUAGGCUCUAUCAAUGGUAUCAGACACCUCCUAGAAGCUAUUCUAGAUCGGGAAAAGAAAUAGAUCAAGAAAAAGAAGAAGAUAGCAAAGAAACAGAAAACUUGAAACCCUAACCCUAACCCUAGAUCUAAAGAAAAGAGGGACGCGGGAACACUUACCUGCUGUCGCCUUCACCGCCGCGCGUCCACCGACGGCGAGCGGCAAAGGCCGGCCGAGCCUCGGGCUCGCCGGGGAACACGUCCACCCGAACCACCGGCGCAACCGCUCGGGGCUCGGGGGAGGGCGCCACAGCACCACCAAAGGACCGCUCGACGGCGGCGCGCCCAACCCUCGGGGUGGACGCGCUCGCCGGCGAGGGGACCCGCGGUGGCGCCGGCCCUUCUUCUCCAUCUGGAUCUCGAUAUUUCGGGUUUUUGGAGGGAGGAAAGGGGGAGGCUAGAAAAGGGGGGGAGGGGGGGCUGCCGCAGCCGUGCGCCGGCGGAGCCAUCCCUCCACCGCCGCCGCCGGCCAUCGCCGGGCGCGGGAGAGACAGCCCCGCCGCCGCCGCCGCGGCGAGAGCGCGCGGGGGAAAGAAGCAAAUGGUGCUAGGGUUUCAGGGAGCCGGCCGACGGCCGGUUUUUGUUCCGCCGUAAAUGUCGCCUGGCCGUCGGAUCUGGACGGGCGGUCGUGAUCGACCGGGCCACUUUCGGCCCAGGCGGGACGCGGCAGCAGGCCGCUUUCGCGGCCCAGGCCCAGGUUGCGGCCUGCAGGCGCGCGCUGCGCGAGAGGCCGGCGCCGAGCCGCCUUCGUGGGCCGCGUUGGCAGGCCGCCGGCGUCGAGCGAGUGGGCCGCGCGCGGGAACGGGCUGGGGGCCGUUUUCGCGGGUGGGCCGUUUUUCGGGUUUUGCACAGUAACUUCUGAUAUUUUGUUUUUUUCUAUUUCCAGAAGCAUUUAAUUGAUGUUUUUUGCAUAGUUUUAGUCUCUAAUCUAAUUUGAACCAACGGGAUAAUUUGUAUUAGAGAUUAAUAAAGUUUUGUACAGUGUUUUGCUUCUGAAAAUAGAUUUAUUUCACAGUUUUCCGCUGCAAAAGUCAUAUUUAUUGCUCCAUUUAAAUUUAAUUUGAACCAACGAGACAAUUAAAUUUUUGUGAGAGCAUGAUAAAGUUAAUUAGAUCAUGGUGCUGUUAUUUUAUGACCAACGUUGUUAAUAACUGUAUCAUGAUUUAAAAAGUUCUUUUGAUGCUUUUAUUUCUAUUUCUGCCCAACGGUGAUAUAGUUUUAAAUUGCAUCAACAGUUGUAUGUUUUAUUUUUUGACCAACGUUGGAAAUGAAUCAUGCAAUUGUCGUUAUGAUCUCACUUAUGGAUUGUAAAUUUCAGGAUCAUUCAACUUAAUGGCGUGUCUCAAAGAGAUACCCAUUCUGAAAGGCAACAACUAUACAGAAUGGAGGAAGAAGAUUGAGUUCUCCUUCGUUUGUGGAGAAGUUGACUGGGUACUAACCACACCGCAGCCACAAGCUCCACAGAAGCCAGUGAGGGCUGAUGGUGAUGAUGAUGCUGCAUGGCAGCAAAAGGAAAGGGACUAUGCUCCACUGGAGUUGGCAUACACCCUUGAAAACAAACAGUGGACCACUGCCAACAAGAAAUGUAUGGCUUUGGUAAAGAAUACGAUUGAGCCUGCCAUUUUGGGCUCGAUCGCAGAGUGUGACUCCGUUUCAGAGUACCUCGACAAGAUAAGGAAUCAGUUCACUGGUUCCUCAAAGAUAUAUGCUACCCAACUGUUCAAGCAGCUGGCCACAGAGAGGUACAAUGGCGGAGGGACUGGCAUAAGAGAUCACAUCAUGAGGAUGUAUAACUUGGCAGCACAGCUGAAGCCUAUGGAUCUUGAGCUCAAACCUGGGCACAUUAUGCAUUUGGUUUUUGCUUCUCUGCCUAAAGAGUUUGACACUUUUGUAGUCAACUAUAACAUGCAGCCAGAACAGUGGGACAUGGAGAAAAUGAUAGCCAUGUGCGUGCAGGAAGAGGACAGACUUAGAUCCUCACAUGGUGGCUCAUUGCACUAUGUGAAGGAUAACAGGAAAAAGAUUGCUAACCCCUCUUUCAAGGCACGUGGAAAAGCUCCUAUGCAGCAGAAUCACCAAAAGCCUCUCCCAGUAGACAAAGUUCAAUGUCUACACUGCAAGAAAAAGGGGCACUUCAAGAAAGACUGCCCCGACUGGUUAAAGUCAAUAAUGGCAAAAAGAGGUGAGAAUACUAUUUCUUUUGUAAAUGAAUCCUUAUAUACACAGUAUUCGAAAUCUACUUGGUGGAUUGACUCAGGUGCAACUGUUCAUGUUGCAAAUUCUUUAUAGGGAUUCCAUUCGACGAGGACUACGCAAAGAAGCGAAAGAUGCGUUGAAGUCGCAAAUGGAGUCCAAGCAGAAGUUGAAGCUGUUGGCGAUGUCUCUUUAGAGCUAGUUGAUGGUUUCAUGCUUGUACUUAAAGAUGUGCUUUAUGUUCCCUCAUUACACAGAAACUUAAUAAGUAUUUCACGUUUGGACCAUGAUGGUUAUGAAUGUCAUUUUGGAAAUGGAAAGUGUGCCAUUUGGUUCGAUAAUACAUGUGUUGGUGUUGCCAUCCUUCACAAUGAGUUGUAUUUAUUAUCAUUGCGUGAAAAAGUAAAUUCUGUGUGUGAUGUGAAUAUGAAUGUAUCCUCGUCAGAGAAAGAAACAAAGAAAAGAAAGAGAACUCAUGAAAUAUCGUCGAAAUUAUGGCACUGUCGUUUAGGCCAUAUUUCGAGGGGAAGAAUAGAAAGACUAGUUAAGAAUGAAAUUCUUCCUCAAUUAGAGUUCUCAGACUUAGAACAAUGCGUUGAUUGCAUUAAAGGAAAAUUUGUAAAGCAAAUUAAAAAAGGCGCUAAACGUAGCACAGGAAUUUUAGAGAUAAUCCACACUGAUAUUUGUGGACCUUUUCCUGUGAAAAGCGUAGAUGGCUAUGACUUGUUCAUAACAUUCACAGAUGAUUACUCCCGUUAUGGUUAUAUUUAUCCAAUCAAAGAAAGAUCAGAAGCGUUGGAUAAAUUUAAGAUAUUUAAAGCUGAAGUUGAAAAUCAGCAUAACAAAAGAAUCAAAAUAGUAAGAUCCGACCGUGGAGGGGAGUACUAUGGUCGGCAUACCCCAUUCGGCCAAGUUCCUGGACCUUUUGCAAGGUUUUUGCAGGAAAAUGGCAUAGUAGCCCAGUAUUCGAUGCCGGGCGAGCCUCAGCAAAAUGGAGUAGCUGAAAGGCGUAACCGUACACUGAUGGAUAUGGUGCGCAGCAUGAUGAGCUAUUCCACCUUACCAUUGGGACUGUGGAUGGAGGCGCUGAAGACUGCCAUUCACAUUCUAAAUAGAGUACCAAGUAAGUCGGUGCCCAAAACACCGUACGAACUAUGGACAGGAAGAGUACCCUCACUAAACCACCUGCGUGUGUGGGGGAGCCCAGCUGAGGCCAAAGUGUUUAACCCAAACAUCGGGAAACUAGAUCCCAAAACAGUAAGUUGCCACUUCAUUGGCUAUCCGGAAAAAUCAAAGGGUUUUCGUUUCUACUGUCCAGACAGAUUCACAAAGUUUGUAGAAACGAGACAGGCGAUUUUCUUAGAGGAUGAGAUGGUGAGGGGGAGCAUGGUAGCUCGAGAGAUUGAUCUUGAGGAGAAGCGGGUGUGUGCACCUAAUCCGAUGAUUCAGGAACCAUACUUCUCACUACCUAUUAUUCCCGCACCAAUAGUUCCUGAGGUCGUGGUGCAAGCACCCGCUACAGUCCCUGAUAUUGUGGUGCAGGCACCUGCUGUGAUUCCACCCGUGGAAACGAUGAGUGAAGUUUUGGAACCUAUCCUUCAGGAGCCAACUGAACCCAUCAUUACACACGAGGAAGAGUUGCAGCAGCCACCUCUGAACAGUGUGCCACAAGCAGAGGCACAGAAUAUGCCUGAAAGUGAGGGGCCUAGAAGGUCUCAAAGGGUCAGAAAAUCAACUAUCCCUGACUGUUAUAAAGUUUAUAAUAUAGAAGAAGUUCAUAUAGAAGGUGAUCCCACUUCAUAUGAAGAAGCCAUGAAAAGUGUUCACUCAUCGAAGUGGCUAGAGGCCAUGGAAGAUGAGAUGAAAUCGAUGAUUUCCAACAAUGUUUGGGAACUUGAGGAGAUUCCUAAAGGAGCCAAAACAGUAGGCUGUAAAUGGGUCUACAAGACUAAACGUGACUCCAAAGGGAAUAUAGAAAGGUAUAAGGCGAGACUUGUGGCAAAAGGUUUUACACAAAGAGAAGGAAUAGAUUAUAAUGAGACUUUUUCUCCUGUCUCAUGUAAAGACUCCUUCAGAAUCAUAAUGGCACUAGUUGCACAUUUUGAUUUAGAGUUACAUCAGAUGGAUGUAAAGACGGCAUUUCUAAAUGGGGAUUUAGAAGAAAACGUCUACAUGAAACAACCAAAGGGUUUUGUCAUGGAAGACAAAGAGAAUAUGGGAUGUCGUCUAAAGAAAUCCAUUUACGGAUUAAAGCAAGCCUCUAGACAGUGGUAUCUAAAGUUUAAUGAUAUAAUAAAGAAAUUUGGGUUUCAAGAGAAUAUAGAGGACAAUUGUGUAUAUGCAAAGUUCAAAAAUGGGAAAUACAUUUUCCUAAUCCUGUAUGUGGAUGAUAUUUUGCUUGCAAGCAGUGAUAUCAGUCUACUGCAAGAGACAAAGAAGUUCUUGUCCUCAAACUUCGAUAUGAAGGAUCUUGGUGAAGCAACAUAUGUUUUGGGCAUAGAAAUUCACCGAGAUAGAUUGAAUGGGGUUCUAGGGUUAUCGCAAAAGGCAUAUUUAGAAAAGGUUCUAAAGAAGUACAAUAUGCAUGCGAGUAAAGCCACACCUGCUCCUAUAGUCAAGGGCGACAGUUUUGGGAAUUUUCAAUGUCCCAGGAACCAGUACGAGAUCGAUCAAAUGAAAGCGGUUCCAUAUGCUUCAGCUGUCGGAAGCUUACAGUAUGCCCAAGUGUGCACCCGCCCUGACUUAGCUUUUGUCACCGGGGUUCUCGGUAGAUAUCAAAGUAAUCCAGGCAUAGAACACUGGAAAAUGGUAAAGAAGGCGUUGCGCUACGCGCAAGGCACAAAAGAACUCAUGCUUACAUAUAAGAGAUCUGAUUCCCUAGAGAUAAAAGGGUAUUCAGAUGCAGACUUUGCGGGAGACAAAGAUGAUAGAAAAUCCACGUCUGGAUACGUAUUCACUCUCGCAGGAGGAGCUAUCUCAUGGAGAAGCUCGAAACAGAAAGUAACUGCGUCAUCAACGAUGCAUGCAAAAUUCAUAGCAUGUCAUGAGGCCACGGGGCAGGCAAUGUGGCUAAAGAAAUUUAUACCCGGAUUGAGAGUGGUUGACUGUAUUCACAGACCACUAAAGAUGUACUGCGACAAUGAACCAGCAGUAUUCUAUGCUCACAACAACAAAUCAAGCAAUGCUUCCAAAGCCAUUGAGAUAAAGUUUUAUGUUGUGAAAGACAGAAUCCAGGAUCACACUAUAAGUCUCGAGCAUAUAAGAACAAAGGAUAUGCUUGCGGAUCCGCUCACGAAAGGCUUACCUCCCAAUGUGUUCAGAGAACACUUAGCCGGCAUGGGUUUAAGGGAAAGCCUAUGAUUCCUGGAUUGGAUAAGGCCCAAAAGAAACAGAAUUGUUUCAAAAUAGAGAGGUGUGUUGUAGCUGUUGAUUCUAUCGGCAAUUAAGCUGUGACGAUGAAACAUGCUCUACGUAUUAAUUUACGAUGAAACGAAUAAAAGUGACAAGUGUAAAGCUAAAAGUAAAUGAUGAGAUCAAGGGGGAGAAUGUUAGAUUGAUCUCUUUCCCGAUUGGCCCAAAGGCCAAUCAGGACCUUGAUCUGCGCCCUGAUCGGGGGCGCUCACCCUAUCAAUGGGUGGUGGGCCCCUGUCGCGCUGCGCUAUAUAAACAGGGUGGGGGGACCCGGCUCGGCUCACGAGGUUCGCCGCAGCCAGCCGCCCCCACCAACACACCUACCGAUCUAGGUUGCGCAGUAGCGGCGGGAAGCACCACCGCCACCUCACCGGCGACCGGAGUCGGCACUGCGCGUCGCUGCCUUGCGCAGACUCCAUCGACAGAACCUGCGAUGGCCAGCAGCUCUGCUGCUCCCACCUCUAGGGGUGAAGGUACCCCAUUUCUCUCCCUCUCACACUAGGCACUCACCAGGAACACCAUGUCCCUUAUAUCUCUCUCGAACCCGACUAGAUGUGCGUCUAGAGAUCCUAGGAUAGGCUCUAUCACUGGGACCUCGAGUUGAAGGAGAAGGCAACGAGACUGCUCAUGAAGCUUGGCGCCUCGUGACAUCAUCAGCUCAUGCGGCGCAUCCAUAGGGUCCGUAGCUGCUGCCGGUCGCGAUGGAGCAUUCUGCGACAACGCAAACGGCGCACCUGUAACUUGUCUAGCGUCGUGUGAUUCGGUUGAAAGAGUUUGUCGGAGUAUCUGUGAGGACGACCCUGAUUGUGUUUCAGUAUCAAUACUGCCACCAAAUUAAUCGACAGUAUAAGAACAUCGAUCAUCUACUCUCCAGGCUGAGUGUCACACGUUUUCAGCUGUAACUGAGUUCUGAUGUGUAGGCCACAAUAGUAUAGCUCAGAUGCUCAAUGCUCAGUUUUGUUUCACAAUAGAUUGAGGGAUUCAUGUUUGUCACACUUCAGACUCAACAAUUUUCUUACCUCCAUAUGCGCCGGUGAAUGCUAGAGGAUUCUAAAAAAAUCAUUAGGGGGCAACCCCUCCUGUUUCUAAAAGAAUGCAAGAGGGUUCCAGUUGCUGCAUUAACCUUCAGUGCUACACUUGUCAAUAUAUAUGCGUGGUUUCUUCAGCUCACUUUAUAUUAGAAGCGAUCAGGGACCAAGGCCCAAAGACCCAAGACAAAACUCGCAUCUGUUUCACACAAAUAUGACUUAGAAGGUAACAAGGACUCAAGAAGAAAACUUGGUAGUAGUAGAUGCUUUUAAGGAUGACUCAAACGAGCGUGGCUAUAGUGAGGGACUGGGACGCAUUAGGAAAUUUUAACUAAACAGCAGGGCAAGCGAAAUGCCACGCCCGUCCAACAUAUUGAUGCUGACACGCUCAACACCUGUGGCAUAUGUCCACAAGAUUUUCCAUGCUCGCUGGAACUGUAACCAGUGGGGGAUUUAGCGCAACGAGCUUCCUUUUUCCUUCUUCCUUUACUCUCUUUUCUUCUUCCUCUCCUAUGUCCAUAGCUAAAACUGUAGGAGGGGCUUAAGGGGAAGCUCCAUUGUAUCCAAAGCUAUAGGGGCUCGAGUCUCAGCUUUCCCACCGCUAGAUCCACCCCUAACUGUAACCUAGCGUUGGGGGUUGUAUGUGAGGUUGUCUGGUCUAGCUUCUCCAUACUAUGCUAAGUAUUGGAGGCCUUGAGUGUUUUUUUCUAAUGGAAUAGGAGGGGUUACCCCCUUAUAUAUUUUAGAAAAAGGAAAGAAAUAUAGCACAAGUCUUUGUCACAAAAACAAAUAAACAAAGAAAGUGAGCCUAGUUACAUGCUCCAAUCUAUCCAUAAAGUCACCGGGAAUUUGAGAGUUUCUUCGGCUCGUAUAACAAUUAGAGCAAACUUCUUUUUGAACAAAGCUUUGUAUGCGACUAGAUAAGGUUGGACAUUUCUGAAGAUCAGAUCAUUGCGCUCCAUCCAAAUGCACCGCCUCAUUUAGAUAAUCACAUUCAUAAAGAAGGGGAUGCUCAGUUGCUGCCGAAAUUAAAGCUUUCCAGGAUCAGAUAGGGAUCACUGUCUUGAUUUAUCUUCAGAUGUAGAAGUCCCCAGCAGUUCUUGAGUUAUCCUUCAGCUAUCUUAACGCAUGAAAAUGGUGAAGGUAACAUUGCCAUGAGCCCAUGACACUAGAUGGUAUUUGCGCUCCUCUCCCACUAGAGGCAUGGGUUCCGACUUUCGGAGUUCAGUUGCUGCCGAAGUGGGUGAAUCUGGAACUUGUGGACGAAUGCUAGCAGUUUCUUCUUCACUAUCAUAUCAAUAAAGGAACCACCAAAACUAAUUUUGCAUCACAUUUUAUUAUGUACAAAGCUUAAUGAGUGGACAGAAAGAGAGCGGUGUUACGUGUAUCAUGAUAGAUCCAUGGUAUAAAACUGGAAGGCAGCCAUAUAUACAAACAUACUAGGUUGAAUUCAAUGUGAAAACAUAUUCUAGGAAAGAAAAAAGAAAAAGGGAUAAGAAACGCAUGUGCAUUACGGCGAAGAGCUAAAUGGCGACUACACUAACUCUCAAGACAGCUAUCUUAUUGUUGUUGGUAAGCUACUAAAUUAAGAGUCCCAACCUACACGAUAUGUGCACGGUUACAGUGCCCCUACUGCACUUCGACUCCCGCAUAGUUAUAUAUAUAAAUGGAGCAGCUUUUCAUUGUACUAACAGCGAGAGGGGCAAGGCAGCGUUAUAAAACCAAACUCACCUACAAGUUCAUGCAUCAAAGAGGAAAACAGACAAUAGAAAUGAACAAAGACACCCACGGCAACAUUAAUUGGUUCCCAUAUGUGUGUCGAACUGGGGAUGGGAUCCAUCGGGAGCUAGAGCUGAAGGCACAUUAGCGAUUCUGGUACGAUGUGACAUCCAUGCCAUGAUUAUGGAGGCAGUAAAGUAAAGUAAAGUAAAGUACAAGAUGUCUUGAAACGAUAUGCCCAAGCAAAUCAGCAACCAUUUCCAACUGAAGAUAAGUUUAGCAAAGUUGAAUACAUUGGUGAGUUCCUUGGAGUUUUUGAAGAAACUACCAGGGCGUUCUCAGCUGAUAAAUAUGCUACUUCCCACAUGUUCCUGGAUAAUGUGCUUUGUAUCCAUCAAACUCUAAAUAGUCCAGAAUGGUACAAGGAUGAGGUUAUCGCAGAUUUGGCAAAAGCAAUGGAGAGAAAAUUUGAUAAGUAUUGGAAUGGAAAUUACAAUAUGGUCCUUGUUAUUUGCAGCAUACUUGAUUCAAGAACAAAAGUUGACUUUCUAGACUUCUUUUAUGAGAAGGUGUGCAGGAACUUUAUUGACAUUGACUUGAGCAAAAAUCUAGCUAAAGAGUGGCAUCGCAAGUAUUUCAGGAAGUAUGAAGAGGUUAUUAAACAAAAUGAUAGAAAUGAAGUAUCACAAACUGGUGAGUCUAGGAGCAUGGUGAACCGUUCUCCAGUGCUAGUUCUUGGAAAAAGAAGACUAGAACAAGAAUUUGCUGAAUAUAGGUAUAAGAGGAGAGGGACUUGGAUUGAAAAAUCAAAACUUGAUGCAUAUCUAGAUGAACCACCAGUGAGAACAGAUGAAAAUUUUGAAAUUCUGACUUGGUGGAAGACAAACUCCAACAAGUACCCUGUGAUGUCAGCGAUGGCACGCGAUUUCUUAGCAAUUCCACUCAGUACCGUUUCUUCUGAAUCAGCAUGCAGUUUGAGUGGUCGGAUUCUUAGUGACAAUCAAAGCUCAAUGACACCAGAAACUCUUGAAGCUUUGGUCUGUUGCAAAGAUUGGCUGUACAAGUAUCCCACCAAUGAAGGUAAUUUUUAUGUGUGCUAACUCUUCAUAUAGUUAGCAGUCUGCUAGAUUUGUAGAAUUCUGUUGCAACCACUGCUACAAAUUCUGUUGCAACCACUGUGAAAAGCAGUAAAAGGUUUAUUGCUUUGUAUGGUUCUGAUUGUAACUGACAUGCUGAUGUGGCUUUAUAUUUGGAAUCACUAUCCUGUAGUAUCUUUCAUGAGACAGUGCUAAGUUUGAUUCAUGACUGUUAUUUUUUUUUCCCCGAACACACUUUGCUGCUUUAGUUAUGUUAGUUUUACCUAUUGUUCACUAAAAUUUAGGGUGCACUUAGUUUUCAUAUGUAUAAUCGAGCAAGUUAUCAGGAACUUCAAGGUUCAACUGGUUUCAGUUCUACAGAGUUCUUAAAAUUUGCAUACUUUUUACUGCUCUUGUGUACUGGUGAAAAAUUAUCUCAACAGUUGAUCUUGUUUCGUUUGCUUUCUCCCCAGGGCUUGCAGGACAAGAUCAAGCUGGUGGCCAUUGAUCUUCAGGACAAACCAGCUUGGUACAAGGAGAAGGUUUACCCACAGGAGCUAGGAACUUUGUUGAUUUAACUGUAGCUCGAGAGACUUGUUUUUCAAGCUAUUUAGAUAUAAUGUAUUGCUAUGGAGAUGAAUUGUAUUUAGAUAUAAUUUAUUGCUAUGCAUCUCCUGUGGCAUGCUGCAGCGGCUCCUAUGGCAUGCAACUCCUGUGGCAUGCGGCUCCUCUAUUUAGAUAUAGACUUGUCAUCAUGGCCAGCUGCAGCGGCUCCUGUGAUAUGCGGCUCCUGUGCGGUUUAACUCAUUUUGAUGGGGAGGGGUGGGGCAGGGUGAUUAAUUUAUUUUUUAGGUGGGAGUGGGGCGGGUGAUUAAUUUUAACCGCUGCGGGUAGGGGCGGGUGAGGAGCGGGUACACCCCCCAUUAGCAGGCCUAAUGAUGUCUCCUAGGGGGUGUUUGAUACGAGGUGCUAAACUUUAACAGUGUCACAUCGGAUGUUUAGAUACUAAUUAGGAGAAGUAAACAUGAGCUAAUUAUAAAACUAAUUGCAGAAUCCUGUGCUAAUUUGCGAGAUGAAUCUAUUAAGUCUAAUUAAUCCAUCAAUAGCAAAUGGUAUGGACUAAUUAGGCUUAAUAGAUUCGUCUCGCGAAUUACACUCCAUCUGUGCAAUUAGUUUUGUAAUUAGCCUAUAUUUAAUACUCCUAAUUAGCUACCGAAUAUCCGAUGGAGCCAAACAGGCCCUUAGAAGGCGAGGCCAUCGGGUUGCAUAGAACGGGGAGGACGACGAAGUGAUGAGCUGGCUCGUGGCGGUUGUUGGAGAAGGAGGCCACGAGACUGCUCAUGAAGCUUUGCGCCUCAUCGCAAGAUCGGGCAUAUUUGGUGCAGCUCUCAGCAGCUCCAGCUCUCUCUGACACCCACAUGAUGUGUUACUGUAGAAGCACUGUUCAUCGGAGCCAGUAUUCCUCUCCCCUCCCUCCUCCUCACAGCCACUGGAGGAGUCGGUGGAGCCACAAAUUGUGGCUCCUCUGGCUCUGGCUCCUUGGGGCUCCUGACAUGCUACAGUACCUGGUGUCAGGCGGAGUCGGAGCCCUAAGGAGCUCGGUCAAACUGACCCAUCGUCUGGUUUGGCGCAUAGGGAGUGGAUCGGUAGCUAUAGCGAGAAAUUUGAAUUUUUGCCACCACAAUAUUCACAAACAUUGAGAAAUCGCCACUUAUAACGUUGGCAUAUUGUUUUCCUUGCCAUUUCUGUCAUUUUAUUGAUUUUUAUUUCCUCUUCCCAUUUGCUUACACCUGAAAGGACCAAAUUGCCCCGAUGGUGGAUCCUUCGACAAGUAAAACGGCAUACCGGAAAUGUUACAAGAACAUCACACAGUCCCCACCCGUGAGGGCAGAGGCUGUUGUCAUCGCCACUCCUGAGUCCGUGAUUGAUUCCGGCCGGUGCCAACCUUUCAGUGUGGGCCUGGGCCUGGGCGCAUUUGUUCUACCAAACAUUCACGAUGAUGUCAUUUUAGUCACUAGAACGAGUGUUUGUUGCUACUUGCGCCUACUAUGUACUCACACAGUUGGUCACAUAGCUUUAAAGAUGAGUAUGAUGCGCGGGUCAAUAUGCGAGGCCCAGCUUGUCAGCUUUCUUCCGGCGCAUGGAAAUAUCUGCUACUAGUAGUGGUUGUGACGGAUCGAGAGAAGGUCCAGCUCAGCUAGCUGCUGCGUCGUCAGGUCAAUCCCAACCCACAAUAUUCGUAUUUACAAGUAGUGUCAACCUUAACAAAUCAUCAAGACACCAACUCUAAAAACUACACCUCAACUCAUAAUUUUUUAACGUGGGACCGUAAUAAUUUUUCUCUCCUCUCUUCCCUCUCCUAUUUUUCGUUGGAUAUCAUGUCAACACUAUAUCUUGCAUGAGAUCCGAUUUCUCCAUAUUUUUACAUCUCUCCUCGUUAACUCUCUUGCCACCUCAGCUUUUUCCCUAUAUAGCACCAUAUUUAAUGCUAUGAAAAUCAGCUAAAGUGGAGGGUUGAGAUUGACCUGGUACAGUCGAAUGCGCAUCGAUGUAUACGAGUGGUUUCUCCACACGCUCGUGAAAACCUGACGCCUUUGGAUUUUUUAUUAAAUUCUUUUAAGAUAAUCCGAGGGGAAUAACGGAGGAGGAUUACUUUAGCGUGGAUCUUAGGGGUGUUUGGAUCCAUGGACAAAUUUUUAGUUCAAGUCACAUCGGAUAUCUUACUAUUACUAAAUUGGAGGUUCCUUUUGAAGCCUUCAGGUGAAGCCACCUAGCAUUCAUAGGUGGACAUUCUAGAAAAAAAGAGAAAUCCUAGAAAUUUUCACAAAAAAGCAAAACAUCUGACCAUCAAUCAAAUCAUCAUAGCCAUGUGAUCUAUUAUGUUCUAAAAAAUUACCCACCUAUGCCAUUAUGAAAAUAGCCUAAAGUAACCCUCUAAAUCUAUAUAUAAAUUACUCACCUCUGCCAUUAUAUAAAAUAAACUAAAGUAACCCCUAAUCUUCAUCAAAAUUACCCACUUAUGCCAUUAUAAACAAUAUUUAAAAUAACCCCCUAAUUUGCAACCGAAUUGCCCACCACUAUUACUUAAAAACUUAAAUAACCCAUUAAAUCUGCAUCUAUAUUACCCCACACAUGCCAUUAUUAAAAAUAACACGAUAACCCUACGUUUGAAUCAAAUAACCUUAAUUAAAAAUAUACAACAUUAUAUGAUUUUAAAUCGUCUAUAUCUUGCACUAUUGGUAUAUGAUAUAAUAAUCAAGGUCUAUACGCACGAUGUGUGUCAGCAUUUAUAAAGAUACAGAGGAAGUCAUGAGAAUAUAGAUUUCUAUGUUAAAAUUGUAUCACAAACUUAGGAUUCAUUAAACAAAUUCAAGUGCAUACCUGUGAUGCAAAGUGAAAAGUUAAAGAUUAUAAAUGUGGAUGAAAAUAUUAUAGAGUACUAACUAAAAUAUAUCAUAAUUGGAUGAAGAUAAUAAAUAUAUAUCUAUAUAAGUAUGGUGUUCGAAUAUUUAACAAACGAGAGAUAGUUUAUGGUAAUAUUUUUUUAGCAAUGUAGUCCUAUUUUUUUCAUUGGAGACUCCACAUUAGUUCCCACGAGACAAGCUAAGAAAAAAGGGACAAAUUCUCAUAAAAAUCAAAAAUAUCAAAUACCAAUACUGUAAACUCUAAUAAUCAUAGCCAUUGAUCUAUUAUAUUUUCUAAAAAGUUACCCACCACUAUCAUUGUGAAAAUAUUCAACCAUAAGCUCUAAACCUAUAUCUAAAUUACUGAGCUCAAUUAUUAUAAAAAAUAAUCUAAAGUAAUCUCAUAAUCUUCAUCCAAUUUAUUAAUACAUAUCAUUAUAAAGCAUAACUUAAAAUAUCAUUCUAAAAUUUUAUCUAUAUUAUCCACGUAUGUUGUUAUUAAAAAUAACCUAAAUUAAACACCUAAAUCUUAAUCUAAUUAUUUUUAUAUGCAUCAUACAUAAAUGUCAAAAAGUAAACUAUAUAUGAGUCUAAAUUAUCUAUUUAUGUCAUUGUUAAUACAAAAAUACUAAGUUAAAAGUAUAUAAACAUGAUGAGUGUCACCAUUUAGACCAUUUAUACAUGUAUGUGAGGAAUUAAUAAAAAAUAUUGAUUUGUAUGCUAAACAUAAUGUAUGGAGGAUUGGAGGUGCAAUACAAAAUGGAAAAAUGUAUGAAUAUGGAUGAAAAAGUGCAUAGAGUAAUUAUUAAUUAAAAAUCAAUCACAACUGGACAAAGAUAGGUACAUAUCUAUAUAA
rnacentral:lncRNA from 1 species